rnacentral:lncRNA from 1 species
AGUAUGACAUCGGUAGGAAGAUAAUGCAGCUAAGCCGAGACUUGCUUCUGAGGCAUUUCAGACUUUACUUGCUGUUGCCGAUAUGAUCUUUUAGGGAUUGGAAUGAUUGCAAGACCCUCACUGCCCCAGCUUGGCGAAUCGCAUCCCCGCGCAACGAAUUGCAUUGCCAACCUCCUGAUUGCAAAACCAAAAGCCAUUGCGCCUUUAGCCGACUGGGAGGACUCCCUAGAAAUUCCUUGUUUAGAGCAAGAGACUUUCUCCGCUUUCCGCAACCGUAACCACCUUUAUUGAAGUGAUGAGCUUUGAAGAUAUGAUUUUCUCGUUUGGAUUAUUUGAUUGGGCUUUCAACAUUUUCAACAACAUCAAAGUUUUCAUAAAACGAAACGGAAGUCUAUUACACUUGUCUCAAACCAUCUAAAACAUGAAUAUCUUUGGGACACAGCCCAUACAAUAGUUCAAAGCAUAAAAUAAAAGGCAUAAGGAAAUGGUGGUUAAAUCCUUGAAUGUUAUGAGGACUCACCAAUUUUCAAAUCUUACCUCUACUAAGAUCCUAUCCACGGGGAUUAGAAUCGAUAUCACCAGACACUAUUUUUGGAAAAGAAAUAUAGCUAAGAGUAUGCGUACAAAAAUGUACUAAAUAUGAUAACUGGCAUAAACAUCAACAUAGCAUUACUCAACAUAAGACAUAUACCAUAAGCAUAAGAGAUAACAACAUAAGUCAUAAGCAUCAUCAAUGCACAUAAAUCAUCAUACUAUAAGAGGAACACUUCUUGAAGUAACCUCAACAUAUCCUUAGUCAAGACUUGGGUAAUCCACAUCUAGUCAUACAUAUCAAGGAAGGCAACUCAAGAAACAAUCCAAGCUAAACUAUCAUCAUAAUAAGUAAAUCUCAUAUUAAAACAUACUUACGAUACUUCUUUAAAGUAACCGUGUUUCAUCAUAACUAUGCUACUUUGAUUAGGGACUAGUCCCUCUUUAGCUAUUUCUACUAUCCAUGUAAGGCAUAGCAUCUUACCAAUCCAAAAUAAUCAUUAUACAUUGAAGAGUACUACUUUACUAAUCCAAGCUAAGUCAUUCUCCAUGAAUGGUUACUAUUUACCAAUUCAAGUCUACCAAGGAAAAUCACCUUAUUAUGCUAGACCAAGCUAUCAUGGAAAGAACCUUACUAUGAAAGUCCAAUCUAUGCAAGGAAGGGUACUAUUUUUCAAUCCAAGCUACCAUGAAUUGGUAUGGCCUUACCAAUUCAAGCUACCAUGCAAGCAUCUCAUCAUGCUAGUUCAAACUAUCCAAGGAAGGGUACUAUUUCUCAAUCUAGGCUACCAUGAAUUGGUAUGGCCUUACCAAUAGAAGCUACCAUGUAAAGCACCUUAUUGUGCUUAGUUCAAGCUAACCAUUGGAAGGGUACUAUUUCACAAUCCAAAGCUAUGUAUGAGAUCUACUAACUCAAGCUACCAUGAAAUGGUCUUGUCUUACCAAUUCAAGCUUCAUGAAGGGAUCUCAUAUCACUACUUCAAGCCACCAUGGAUAGCAUCUCAUCAUGCUCACCCAAGCUAAGUCUUAUCUAUCCUAGUUCAUAAAUGCUUUGAUUCAUUUUAGGAGAGCAAGCCCUUCAACCUAGAAUCAUUCUAUGUGAGAAAACCUUUCACACUUAUAUAUUCAUACAUUCAUAGAGUAAAUCAUGUGGGUAAAUUCCUUCCACAAAAAUUCUAUCUAAUAAUCAUUAUUCAUCAUAUAAGCUUUACUCUAAAAACCCUACUAACCAUACUUCCUCAUAUAAGCUUUACUCUCAAAGCCCUAAUAACCAUAAUUCAUCAAACAUGCCUUGGUCUCAAGAUAAUUCUAAUUUCAAAGCCUACAUGUCCUAAUUCAUCAUGUAUACUUGAUCUCAAUCAAUUCAUGUCUAUAAGCUUCACUUUCAAGCAAUUCAUGUAUAUAUGCUUCACUCUAAAGCAAUUCAUGUUUAUAUGCUUCACUCUAAAGCAUUCUACAAUGUAUCUCAUCAAUCCUAGAAGAAUACAUCUAAAUCCUCAAUUUCCCCUUUCAUGGAAUAAAACUCACUUAUAUCAAUUUCAUCUUUCUAGACAUGGGUUACGCAUGGGUACAUGUAAAUUUAUUCUAUAAACAUGUAAUUCUAUCAAUUCAAUCAUAAACAAAUCAUAACUGAUGAGUCCACAAAUUGGACUCAUUUAGGGCUAUAUUUCGAUAGAAUUAGUGUCCUCAACUGCAUAUUUUGUUUCGAUAUCUUAUGAAAACCCUUAAGUUUCAGGUAUUUGGAGUUUGAGGUAAAGCAUGGACACUACUUGGCAAGAAGGAACAAGACGGCUGAAAAGAACGAAGAAAUGAAGGCAUGAAGAUCACCGAGCCCAGUUGGCGAGUCGCCAAUCGGCCUGGAGAUUGCCUGUUGUUCCAGUGUGCUGAGCCCUGAAGGGAAAGAUCAAGUUGGCAAUGAAAUAGAGCAGUCGGCAUGUCGCCAAGUAGUUCCGUGAAGCAGUACCAAAUCGCCCAAUGACUCAAAGCGCGAGGAGGCUGGCUAAAGCAAAAAGGCGAUGAAAUCGACCAAAAGGCGGAUCGCCGAGUGUAUCGCCGAUCCUGACUAACUGCGCCAAGUGAUCCGCUGCAGCACAAAUUUUCAAACACUAUAAAUACUUGCUUAAAUUGUUAACUUAGUAUCAAGUCAUACACAAUUUUUAUUCAGACUUAGAAUAUUUUCAGUUUCAAGUUUUAGAGGGUUUUGGAGAUUUUGUUCUAAGACCUUGAAGAUUCAAAGGGUUUCAACUCCAAGAAAUUGGACGUGGGUCUGGAAGAUUCUUCACUCUUAACGUGUUUUAAGACUUCAUUCUUCAUACCUAGUUGAUGGAAAAUGAUAUUGGUAUAAAUUUUUAUCUUUUUUACAUGUCUAGCUAAAACCCCAAUUCUUGGGGUGUGAUUUUGUGAAUAUGGGUUAGAUUAUCUAUUGGGUCUUGCUUGUUGAUGGUUUAUUUGUUGUUUAAAUGUGAUUUCGUUUAGUAGUUGGGUAUGAACUUAGUGGAAUUGUAGUUGCAAAUAUGAUUUCAUCUUAGUAUUUUUGGCUUGCUCAAGAGAGAGUUCAUAAAACUAAGACUACUAAAUUGAUAGUUGGUGGUAUUCGAUCGACAUGGUUUCAGCUCGAGAGAGUGAAUCCUAGUCCUUCUCCCACACAUUCAGCUCGAGAGAGUGAAUGGGCUAAGGCGGAGGCUGUGCUUAAUGCGGCAACUCGGUGUUCGAGAGAAACCGAAUUUAUUCAGGGUAAGUUGCUCGAGAGAGAAUUUACCCCCACUAUAGUCUAGCCUAGUCACAAAUACUCAACAAUUUACUAUCAAAAGCAUGUACCAGAUAAUUUAGUCUAUCACGUAUUCCUAUCACAUUCCAAGAAUCCCGUCUCCCUAUCUCGUUUUCUUGUAUUUUUACUAUUUUUGUUAUUAGCAUAAUACAAACCUCCAUUGAUAAUUGACGAUGCGUCACCUCUUUUAGAUUUAGUAUGUUUAUAUUCGAUAAUGUCUAUAGUUAUGACUAAUUAGAACUUAAUUUUAUUUUUCUAUUGAUUCUCAAAACUACUCCAUUGGGAAUCGAAUUGGAAGUUGCGACUUGAUUACCCAAACAUCAAUAACCCACACAAUUGGAUCAAAACCUAUAACAUUAAAAGAAACUCUAACUAGAAUUGGGGAUUUCUUCUUCUAAAUUGGGGAAAUCAUAGGGGCUCCAUGGAUGAAAGGAUUCCAUGGAUAAAAAGCAUCAUACCUUGAUAACAAAGACCACAAUUUCUUGAGGAAUGGAGACUUGCGAUUGAUCCUAGCUCCAACUCUUUCUUCUUCUUCAAGUUCUAGAGAUAAAUAUUUGAGAGAAGAACUUUGGGAUUUCUUUUGGGGUUUUGGAAAUAAUGACUUGAAUAGUGAGUUUAAAGGGUUAAAAUCACUUAUAUAAGUGUACUAGGGUUGGGUAAUAUGACCUAGCUUUAUUGUAAUGAAAACCGAAAAGACCCAAUUUACCCUCCACUUAACAGUGGUCUACCACCCUUCACGAGGGGCUCCACGAGCCGUGGUGCCUACCACGAGCCAUGGUCCCUCGGUCACCAACUUGUGGCUUGGAAGCCACUCCUCGACCCCUAAAAGACUAAGGCACCUUCACGACCUCUCCCACGGCCCGUCAAGGCCUUUACGAUCCGUCUAGUUGCUUGUGGGGAGGAGGCUAACUUGGGGCAGCUUGGUGAAGCUACUGCCUCACCACCACAAGUGGUCCCAUGAUCCGUGCUGACCACCAUGAGCCGUCAAGGCUCUCGUGGGAGGUGGGCAGCCUAUGGUUUUCUACUGCCUAUGGUAUACCGGGGCCACCAUGACUCGUGGUGCCCUUCACGACUCAUGGGGGCUUCCAUAAAGGGUGCCAAGGCUAAAAUCUCUAGUUCAUGCCUUGCACUUAGCCCCUAGCUUGGCCUACUAGGUUCCGAGGUGUUACAUUAUGUCCCCCUUGGGAACAUUCUUCCUUGAAUGGAAUUCUAGGCACCUCUUAACAGGAACGACUCAAGACUAGCAGCCCAUCAUGCAUGCAACUCAUCUAAAUGCACACAACCAAGGAGGAAACAUCAACUCCAAACUAAACAUACUCAAUGCAUCAUAUGGAAGGUAGGAACUACAUCUAGCAACCCAAAAUGCAUGAAAUUUCAACAUCUCUCAUGUUCAAGGAGGAAUAUCAUCUCCAAGCUAAAAGAAUGCUCAACACAAUCUCAUGGAGCAUAUAUGCAAUCUAUACUCAAAGCAUAUACCCAAGGAAGAAUCUCUCAACUCCAAGCUAAGGCAUGUUCAUCAAUUCAUCUCAUGAAGUCUACAGGCAACUCAUACUCAAUGCACUAUAACAUGAGGAAAAUCAAUUACAUAAACUCAUUUUCUUACAAAACACAAGUUUUUCCUCAACAUGAAUAACAUAAGGAAAUCAUGAUAACAUCUAAAACAUACAACUACCUUGCUAUCUAAGCACACCAUCUCCCCCUUGGGAGAAAGCCUAAACGGACUUCCUAGGCACCGCUUCUUUCAAUUUAGCUAAGGUCGGAUCAAGACAUCACUAAGUUUUCACAUCCGUCACACAAGACGAUUCUAAACCAUGGUGAACUAUAACACCACCUUUGGAGGAGUUUAUUAACUAAGCAUAUCUAGGCAAUAUCUAAACACCCUAUUCAUCAAAUUCUUACAUGCCGCCGGGGUAUUAGUCAAACCAAAAGACAUUACCACAAACUCAUAAUGAUCAUAUCGGGUUCUAAAAGCCAUUAUCAAGAAAUCAUCAUCCUUUACCCUCAAUUGGUGGUAACCCGACCUAAGGUCAACUUUUAAAAGGUAACUAGCUUCUUAGAGUUGGUCAACACUAAAGUCUAUCUCUCUCACUCUAACUAGGUGAUAAAGGCAACCCUUAGAAAUCAUCCUUCUAGCUUUCAUAUAAGACAUAUACUGACCUAUAGGCAUAGAAUUUUCCCCCUUCCACUCUAGGAUAGGCUCGUUCGGGAACUAAAAUACGACUACACAUGUUCUACAAUCAAUAGAAACAUAACAAUAGUGCAGCCAAUCCAUACUAAGGACAACAUCAAGACCUAACAUAUCAAGUCCUAUCAAGUCACAAAAGAAAGAGCAGCAUCAGAAUCUAAUAAAGCAUAUACAUCAAGCUAGGAAAACUUUCAACAUACCGAUAGCCACAUCUGGAGGACACUCUUGUUCACCUCGAGCCUAGAGAGCGUAGAACCCAUUUUGGCUUGGAGCAUUUGCACCUGAACCACUAGGAGGAACUUUCUUACCCUCUCUUCUCUUAGCCUUCAUCAUUGGACAAUCCCUUAUUUUGUGACCACUUUCACUGUAACUGAAGCAACCUUCUGUGUCGGCUAGACACCUACCCGCAUGACUCUUCCCACACCUAGCACAAGUAGAUAAUAGGGAUUCACUACUAAUUCCUUGAGGUUUAGGGUUAUACAUCCUAUCUUCAUUUUAACUAGGAACAUUGGAGGAACCUUUCCCGGAAAACCUUUGUCUAUACCUAGGACGACUAUGUCCAUCGGACCUUGCAUGAGAGGAAUGAUCUUCAUCACUUCUAGACCUCUUUUUCUCCCUAGACAUCCAUUUAAGUUUCUCCUCUUCAAUCUAUUAAGCAUGAGUCAUAAGAUGAGUAAUAUCCAUGUCAUGAACAAGCAUAGUCGUACGACAUUCUUUCACUACUAAAUCAGACACACCCAACACAAACUUACUCAUUCUCGACCUAGGGUCGGCCACUAUAGAUGGAGCAUAUUUUGACAAUUGAGUGAACCUCAAAGCAUAUUCCUUAACACUCAUAUUACCUUGCCGAAGAUUAAUAAACUCAAGUACCAUAGCCUCUCUCAUCUCAAGAGGGAAGAACCUAUCAAGAAAACAUUUUUAAACCUUUCCCACUCUAUGGGACCCGCUUCUACUGACCUUGCUUCUUUCCAUUGGUUGAACCAAACUUGAGUAACUCCCUUAAGUUGAUAAGCGGCUAAUUCCGCCUUUUCUACCGGAGUCACUCCCAUAAUGUCCAACACCUUAUAGAUCUCAUCUAUGAACUCUUGAGGAUCUUCCUCAACUUUUGAACCAUAAAAUUCCGGAGGGUUCAUUCUAGUAAAGUUUGUCACUCUUGAUAUCGUUGUACCCACAUUUGGGUUCACGGGGUUCACAACUUCCCUAUUGGCUUGAGCCGUCACGGCUUGAGCCAACACUUGAAAAGCCGCCCUAAACUCCACAUUUGUUACAUUCUCAGCCAUAGGGUCAAUCGGAGCUUGAGAAGAAGCUUUUUGGUCCACAUUGUCUUCCUCAUUCCUUCUAGCAUUAGCCCUUGUAGUAGUCAUAUCUUGUAGACCAAUGGGUAAAGAUUAGGAGAAAGACCUUAUAGAGUUAAACUCUAUGGCACGACUUAGAGUAAUGAAGAAGUGAAGUUUCCUAAGCAUCUAGUAUCCUCUCAUUCAUAAAUGUGGCGCGCUUCACACUUAUGAACAAGACUCUAUUUCACGUGGUUUUGAGACAUCUUAGAAUCAUUCUAAACUUUGUGCUCUAAUUACCAAGUUUGUCACGACCCAGGGGUACACCCUAGAUGUAACAUAGCGUACAACACCCCGAGAGGCCUCAUACAAACCACUUAGCAUAUCAUAACAAAAAGUAAUAGAAAUGAGCGGGAAUUUAAAACAAUUUCAACAAAAUCAAAGUUUUCAUAAAACGAAGCGGAAAUCUAUUACACUUGUCUCAAACCAUCUAAAACAUGAAUAUCUUUGGGACACAUCCCAUACAAUAGUUCAAAACAUAAAAUGAAAGACAUAAGGAAAUAGUGGUAAAAUCCUCGAAUGCUAUGAGGACUCACCAAUCUUCAAAUCUUGCCUCUUCUAAGGUCCUAACCACGGGGAUGAGAAUCGAUAUUGUCGGACCCUACAUUUGGAUAAGAAAUGUCACCAAGAGUAUGCGUUAGUACAAAUAUGUACUAAAUAUGAUAGCUUGCAUAAACAUCAAUAUAGGCAUAACAUAGGCCUUAGUAAUAUAUACCAUAAGCAUAAGAGAUAACAACAUAAGUCAUAAGCAUCAUCAAUGCACAUAAAUCAUCAUACUAUAAGAGGAACACUUCUUGAAGUAACCUCAACCUAUCCUUAGUCAAGACUUGGGUAAUCCAUCUCUAGUCAUAUAUAUCAAGGAAGGCAACUCAAGCAACAACCCAAGCUAAACUAUCAUCAUAACAAGUAAAUCUCAUAUUAAAACAUACUUACGAUACUUCCUUGAAGUAACCUUGUUUCAUCAUAACUAUGGUACUCUUAUUAGGGACUAGUUCCUCUUUAGCUAUUUCUACUAUCCAUGGAAGGCAUAUCAUCUUACACUACUAAAAAACUGCUAAAAAACGAUGGACAAAAAAGUGAUGGACGGUGUCGCUCCAAAAAGCGACGCCAUUUUCCACACUAUCCGUUGCUUUUUAAUUAAAAUAAUUCUUAUUAAAAUUAUUUUACAAAAAGCAUCGGAUGGCAUCUCUUAGUCUGUCGCUUUUUUUGGCAGAUUUUUGCACCAAAUAUAUAUACAUAUAUUUAAAUAUAUAAUUAAUAAUUAUUUAUUUAAUAUAUAUAAAGACACCAUCCAUCGCUUUUUAUUAAAAAUAAUUAUUUAUAAAUUAAACAAUAAAUACUAUGUCCACCGUUUUUUUAUUAUUAUUUUAUUAAUUAUGUUUUUUAAAAAGCGACGGACGACAUCUCUUAGUCUGUCGCUUUUUGAUCAAAAUAUCUAGUCAAACAUUUUUAACAAGCGACGGACACCGUCUCUCAGUCCGUCGCUUUUUGGUCAAAAUGUUGGUCAAAUAUUUUUAAAAAAGUGACGGACAAAGAGACGUUGUCCGUCACUUUUUUAAAAUUAUGUUGAACCAAAAGCGGGUUUUUCCCCAUUUUCCCAUCUCUCUUAUCUCUUCUCUCCCUUCUCUCUAAAACCAGAUGCGCGCCGCCACCCCAUGCCGCCCCACAUCAUCGUCGUCCUUCUCUCCCCGAGCACUAGUUUCAUCACUGCCUUACCCCAUCGGUGCCACCACCCGUCGUCCCCGCUGCCUCUUUUCCUUAACUUGUUAAGGUUAGGGUUUAAUUUUAGGUUUUUUCAAUUCUAGUAAUAUUUGAUUUGUUAUAAGUUAGUAUAUUAUUUUAGUUUAUUAAAUUGUGGUAUUCAAUUGUUAAUUUGUAUAUUUGAUUAUUGUUAGUUACGGAGAGAAUUGGAGAUUUUUUAUUUUAGGAUUUUCAUUUAAAUUGGGGAUUUUUUUAAAUAUGAUUGUGAAUUGAGUAUUAGAAGUUAGAACUAACAAAUAAUUAGAAGUUAGGUUAAUUGCAUUUUCCAACUUUGAAAUUCUUAAAUUUAGUAUUUUUGAAAGUUAAAGUUAGAAAAAUAUUGAAUUGUAUAUGAAAGUUAGAUUAUUUUGACGUUAGAAAAAUAUUGGAUAGUAUAUGAAAGUUGAAAUUAGAUUAGUUGAAUUUUCCAACUUGGAAAUUCUUGAAUUUAGUAAGUUUGAAAGUUGAAGUUAGAAAAAUCUUAGAUUGUACACGAAAGUUAGAUUACUUUGAAGUUAGAAAAGUAUUGGAUAGUAUAUGAAAGUUGAAAUUAGGUUGAACUUAGAAAUUCUUCAAUUUGAAGUUUACAUAGAACUAAUUUUAGAAAUUAGAUAUGAACUUGAAUUUUUGUAGAAUUUUAGAACUUUAGGUUGUGAACUUUAGAUAUCUUGAAUUAUUGGUAGGAUUUUAGAACUUAGAUUGUGAACUUUAGAAAUCUUGAAUUAUUGUAGGACUUCAGAACUUUUGAGAACUUAAUUUUUUGUAGGAUUUUAGAACUUUAGGUUGUGAAACGUUAGAAAUCUUGAAUUAUUGUAGAAUUUUAGAAAUUUAGGUUGUGNNNNNNNNNNNNNNNNNNNNNNNNNNNAACUUUAUAAGAUUGUAAACGUUAACAAUCUUGAAUUAUUGUAGGGUUUUAGAACUUUAGGUUGUGAAUUUUAGCAAUCUUGAAUUAUUGUAGGAUUUUAGAACUUUAGGUUGUGAACGUCUAGAAAUCUUGAAUUAUUGUAGAAUUUUAGAACUUUAAGUUGUGAACUUUAGAGGACGUGAAUUUUUGAAGGAUUUUAGAACUUUAAGUUCUGAACUUUAGAAAACUUGAUUUUUUUGUUGGAUUUUAAAACUUUAGGUUGUGAACUUUAGAAAUCUUGAAUUAUUGUAGGAUUUUAAAACUUUAAGUUGUGAACUUUAGAAAAUUUAAAUUUUCGUAGGAUUUUAGAACUUUAGAAAAAAUCUUAAAUUAUUGUAGGAUUUUAGAACUUUAAGUUAUGAACUUUAGAGAACUUAAAUUUUUGUAGGAUUUUAGAAUUGGGAAAAGGUAGAAGUACCUCCCUAGACAAUGACUCAAAUCCCAAGGACACGCCUUAACUAAACUAAGGUCCUAUUACCCCCCGAACUCAUUUUUUUUUGUAAUUUUGUACACCUUUUUGGCUUACGUGGCAUCCAAAUAUCUCUCACGCGCCUCAAGUGCGUGGAGUCACGGGGUGUUGCACAUAAGCCAAGAAGGUGUACAAUAUUAUAUAUAAAAUGAGUUCGGGGGUAAAAGGACCUUAGUUUAGUUAAGGUAUGUCUCUGAGAUUUCGGUCAUAGUCUAGGGGGGUACUUGUGCCUUCUCCCUUUUAGAAUUUUAGGUUGUGAACGUUAGAAAUCUUGAAUUAUUGUAGAAUUUUAGAACUUUGAGUUGUAAACUUUAGAGAACUUGAUUUUUUGUAGAAUAUUAGAACUUUAGGUUGUGAACGUUAGAAAUCUUGAAUUAUUGUAGAAUUUUAGAACUGUAAGUUGUGAACUUCAGAGAACUUGAAUUUUUGUAGGAUUAUAGAACUUUAAGUUGUGAACUCUAGAGUACUAAAUUUUUUGUAGGAUUUUAGAAAUUUAGGUUAUGAACUUAAGAAAUCUUGAAUUAUAGUAGGAUUUUAGAACUUUAGGUUGUGAACUUUAGAAAUCUUGAAUUAUUGUGGGAUUUUAGAACUUUAAGUUGUGAACUUUAGAAAUCUUGAAUUAUUGUAGGAUUUUAAAUUUUAGGUUGUGAACUUUAGGAAUAUUGAUUUGUAGAAUUUAUGAACUAAUUAUUAGGUUGAACUUUAGAAAUCUUGAUAAAAUAUAAUCUUUAUGAACUAUUUAAUUAAUCUUGAACAUAAUUUGAACUUAAUUAAGACUUUGAACUUAAUUUGAAGUUUAAAUUACUUGAAAUCUUAUUGACCUUGAUAUACUUUAAUUUAAUUAGAACUUUGAACUUUAUUUAUAAUAACUUGAACUUAAUUAGGAAUCUGAACUUAAAAUCUUGUUGAGCUUAAUUGGAACUUAAUAAUUGAACUUUAUUAGAACUUGAACUUAAUUAGAACUUUAAAUUUAAUUUGAACUUUGAAGUACUUAAAAUCUUAUUGACCUUAAUAUAUUUGAACUUACUUUAUAAUAACUUGAACUUAAUUAGAAAUAUAAUUAACUAUUUGAAAUCUAAAACUUAAUUAGUGUUUAUGAAUUAAUUAAGCUUGAACUUUGUAGCUUCUUUAUAAUGUUGUGUUUGAUUGGGGCUGGGUUGAAUUGAAUUACUUUUGCAGGUGGGCAGCAGAAACUACCACAGAAACAGGUAGUUUCUGCUGUCAAAAAAAUUACAGAAAAAGCGACGAAAAGGGUGGUUUUGUCCGUCACUUUUCUAGAUUUGAUUUUUUUUAAAGCCCAGAAAAGCGACGGACAAGGUCCUUUAGUCCGUUGCUUCCAUGGGUUUUAUUUUUUGAAAAAACCAUAAAAGCGACGGACGGCGUCGCAUUAUUCAAAAAAAAAUUCUUUAAAAAAGAAUAAGUGACGCAGUCAGUCGCUUUUGGAAAAGCAUCGAGCCAAAAAACUGCUAGAUUGACUGCAUCACUUUUGGCAAAAAAAGCGACGCAGUGCAUCAUUUUUUGACAAUUUUUUAGUAGUGUUAUCAAUCCAAGCUAAUCAUUAUCCAGGGAAGAGUACUACUUUACUAAUCCAAGUUAAGUCAUUCUCCAUGAAUGUUUACUAUUUAUCAAUUCAAGGCUACCAAGGAAAGCACCUCACUAUGCUAGACCAAGCUAUUAUGGAACGCUCCUUACUAUGCAAGUCCAAGCUAUCAAAGGAAGGGUACUAUUGCUCAAUCCAAGCUAUCAUGAAUUGGUAUGGCCUUACCAAUGCAAGCUACCAUGCAAGCAUCUCAUCAUGUUAGUUCAAGCUAUCCAAGGAAGGGUACUAUUUCUCAAUCCAAGCUACCAUGAAUUGGUAUGGCCUUACCAAUAGAAGCUACCAUGCAAAGCACCAUAUUGUGCGUAGUUCAAGCUAACCAUUGAAAGGGUACUAUUUCUCAAUCCAAGGCUAUCCAUGAGAUCUACAAACUCAAGCUACCAUGAAAUUGUCUUGUCUUACCAAGGCAAGCUUCAUGGAGGGAUCUCAUAUCACUACUUCAAGCUACCAUGGAUAAAGCAUCUCAUCAUGCUCACCCAAGCUAAGUCUUAUCUAUCCUAGUUCAUAAAUGCUUUGAUUCAUUUUAAGUGAGCAGCCCUUUCAACCUAGAAUCAUUCUAUGUGAGAAAACCUUUCACAUUUAUACAUUCAUACAUUCAUAGAGUAAAUCAUAUGGGUAAAUCCCUUCCACAACAAUUCUAUCUAAUAAUCAACAUUCAUCAUAUAAGCUUUACUCUAAAAGCCCUACUAAUCAUACUUCAUCAUAUAAACUUUACUCUCAAAGCCCUAAUAACCAUAAUUCAUCAAACAUGCCUUGGUCUCAAGACAAUUCUAACCACAAAGCCUACAAGUUCUAAUUCAUCAUGUAUACUUGAUCUCAAUCAAUUCAUGUCUAUAAGCUUUACUUUCAAGCAAUUCAUGUAUAUAUGCUUCACUCUCAAGCAAUUCAUGUCUAUAUGCUUCACUCUCAAGCAUUCUACAAUGUAUUUCAUCAAUCCUAGAAGAAUACAUCUAAUUCCUCAAUUUCCCCUUUCACGGCAUAAAACCCACUUACAUCAAUUUCAUCUUUAUAUACAUGGGUUAGGCAUGGGUACAUGUUAAUUUAUCCUAUAAACAUGUAAUUCUAUCAAUUCAAUCAUAAACAAUUAUAACCCACUCAAUUGGAUCAAAACCCAUAACAUUAGAAGAAACCCUAACUAGAAUUGGGCAAUUCUUCUUCUAAAUCGGGGAAAUCAUAGGGCCUUCAUGGAUGAAAAGCCAUCAUACCUUGAUAACAAAUCCCACAAUUUCUUGAGGAAUGGAGACUUGAGCUUGAUCCUAGCUCCAACUCUUUCUUGUUCGUCAAGUUCUAGAGAGAGAAAUAUUUGAGAGAAGAACUUUGGGAAGUCUUUUGGGGUUUUGGAAAUAAUGACUUGAAUGGUGAGUUUAAUGGGUUAAAAUCACUUGUGCACUAGGCUUGGGUAAAACGACCUAGUUUUAUUCUAAUGAAAACUGGAAAGACCCAAUUUACCCUCCACUUAACAGUGGUCUGCAACCCUUCACGAGGAGCUCCACGAGUCGUGGUGCCUACCACGAGCCGUGGUCUCUCUCGUGGUCACCAACUAGUGGCUUGGAAGCCACUCUUUGACCUCUAAAAGACUAAGGCACCUUCACGACCUCUCCCACAGCCCGUCAAGGUCUUCACGAGUCGUCUAGUGGCUCGUGGGGAGGAGGCUAACUUGGGGCAGCUUGGUGAAGCUACUGCCUCACCACCACUAGUAGUCCCACGAUCCAUGGUGACCACCACGAGUUGUCAAGGAUCUUGUGGGAUGUGGGAAGCCUAUGGUUGUCUACUGCCUAUGGUCUAUGGGCACCACCAUGACUCGUGGUGCCUUUCACGACUCGUGGGGGCUUCCAUAAAGGGUGCCAAGGAUAAAAUCUCUAGUUCAUGCCUUGCACUUAGCCCCUAUCUUGGCCUACUAGAUUCCGAGGUGUUACAAUUCUUCUCAGAGUUCUUCUUAAUCUGGGGUCGUAGGGGUCAAUGGAUUGCCUUGAAUCCGUGUAUUUAGCAUACCUGUAGAAAAUAAAAACAAAACAAAACAUAAAUCAUGAAAUAAUUGAAUAAAGUUUAAUAACAAAAUUAGUCUAAUCUAAAAGCCUUAUUCCCUGCCAACGGCGCUAAAAUUUGAUACGCCCAAAUUACACCUCCCUAGAGAAGUAUAAACAGUUGUUGUCAAAUAAAGAACCUAACUGAGGUUAGGGUCGAUCCCACGAGGAAUAUGGUCUAGACUUAGGCUAAUUUAUUGUUUAUUGUACUUUUAGUCAUCUUAUUUCCGUAAAAAGGGGGAAUUUUAAACACAAUAUAAUUGUUGAUUGAUUUGUAGUAACAAGUAACAAGUAACAGGAUUCACAGUUUGUAUUAUCAAUAUGAGAUGAAACUAGGGCAUAUGUUUCCCCACAAGUUCUUAAUGCAGUAAUCUUAAUAAUAGUAACUCUUUCCUAGUGUUAACAUGCAAGGUUGGUAAGUUAGGCAUCUCCUAAGUGAUUGAUCGUCCAAGUAGGGAAUUUCACCACGCAACAUGGUUGGUCUACGAGUGUAUGCUUUACUAACCCUUACCUUUAACCCCAUAUUAGCCCUCGUGUAUUUGGGUCAGGCUAUUAGAUAGCACAUUAUCACGCUAAAUCUCCAUCAUUUAACCUCUUUCUCAUUCAUUACUUCCUUGGUCAGGCAGGUAGGAAUGAGGCGAGUUCUAAAGUUGCACACCGUUAAAAGCAUUCAAAACGAAGAGACUAACAAUACAUGCAUAAACACUAUUCGAGCAUUACUUAAUUAUUAGCUUUAUGUUGUUAAUUACUCAUGGUUCCCACAAUCCUGGUUGUGGAUUUAGUUAUCAUGCUUGAGAAUUCACAAUUCAUAUUAGAGUUAAUAAUAGAAAUCAUGAACUUACAAUUAGAAUAGAUGAAAUCUGGAAUCUUGAAUUGAAGAACAAAUGCAAAUUUCAUAAACCAAACUUCAAGAAUUAAAUUCCUAAAAUGUUUGCAAAAUAAUUCUCAAAGCCAAAACAAAGUAUCUCAAAACGUCUAACAACCCAAAAAUGAAAAUUAUAACAAAUAUUUAUUAAAAACAAAUCCUAAAACAAGUAGGAAAAGGAAGACUUAAGGAAAUUUGACUUGGGCAGUGUCAUCUAUGGUUGGCAACCUACGGCUCGUCGUAGAGAUAUCGGCUCGUAAGUGUCUUCCGUCAAUCAGCAGUUAAUCAAAUCUCUAGUGAGUUCCACCUAUGGGCAUGACUUAUGGCUCGUAAGUCUAUGCACGGCCCGACUUGUUCAUCCGUCGUUCAUGUACUGGAAGUCAUCCUUUCUGAAGUUUUCUAUGACUCCACAUGUAUGGCUCAUAGUAGUAACUACGGCUCGUUGAUAUGCUAUCAUUAUUCCAUACUUAACUCCAAUUCUCAGCACUUCAACCUAUGGCUCGUCGAAGAAAUAACGGCUCGUAAGUCCAGUCACUUGUCGCCAAAAUCCUUCUGCUGCAACACUUUUAACACCAAUUGCUCCAAAACCUAUUUUCUGUAAAAUCAAACCAAAAUACCAUCACAUAUAAUAACAAAAUGCCUAAGACUCAUGCAUAGCUUUAAGUUUAAUGCAUCAAAAGUACCGUAAUUUCAAGGUACAUCAAAGGUAUGAGUGAAGACGUCAAUGGAAGAAUGUGUCUUGUAAAAAGGGCCUUUUCCAGAGUUUGGGUCAUUGAACUGUCGAUUACCAUGCUAUAGCGAGAGGAAGCUUAUAGUAGAGUGUGAAGACCUCUAUAGCAAGAUAAGUGUUUCCAUAAAGUGUCGCUUUAGGAACUUAACCACACAAAUUCCCCUAAGAAAUCUCUCUCAAAAUAUCUCUCCCAAUCUCUCAAGGUGUUGAAAAUGGUAAAAUAAUGAAAAUGGGAAAGAAGUUUUGUGACAAAGAGAGCUACCAGCGAAACAGCGAGUCCAAAAAAACAUCAAUAGUAAAAAAAUGGGUUUGGUCCUCAAAACUUAUUUGAAAACAUGUAUACAUGAUCCAAUAGUGCAACUUCAUUAUAAAACAUGUUCCGAAGCCAAUAGAAUAAUAAAAUUUCUAGAAAAAAAAUAAUUUACUUAAAAUUACCCCUUGGGACGCUUUUAGGAGUUUCAUGUUGGGUUUAGGAUCUUUUUUUUCCCUUCCUAUAUGGAUAAAUAAAAGUCUUAUUAGGACCAGCCCACUUUAGCCCAUAACCCAAAUAUUAUGUGGCAUAUAUAAGGCUUAUUUGGUCUUAUUUUCAGAAACACAAGACAGAAAAAUCAAGAGAGAUUCGUUUUAGAGAUUGAGAGAAAAAGAGAAAAAUCCCUAUUUGCUUCUAGAAAUUUUCUGCUCAGGCAGUCCGCUUCAGACAGAGUUUGUCGCUUCGUUAACCGUUGGAUCGUGCUUAAAUUUGAACUGGGAGUUCUCCGCAUCUGGUUCUUGCAAUUCAAUGGUGGAGAACGAAUUUGGAGGUCUGUAGCUUCUGAUUUGAGGGCGUGAACAGUAGCGCAUUUUGGGGUGAAAUCUCUUCUUUAAUUUUCUAGUUUUGGUGCAAUCUUGAUUUGUUGUUGCUUGUUGUUUGGCCCUUGUUUUGUGGCCAAUUUUGGAGAACAAUUUUGUAACUCUUGGUGUUUAUAAUGGAGCUUUUGGUCCUGUGGUUUUUUACUCUUCACAUUGAAGGGUUUUCCACGUAAAUCGUUGUGUCUUGUGUGAUUGACUUAUUCUUAUCUUGUUACUUUAGUUUGGUUGAUAUACUUGUUGUCCAUUCUUCAUAUUGCUUGAUUUGGUUUGUCUUCUCUUGGUUCAAAUUAAAAGGGAAAGUUUAGAUUUGGGUAUUAUUCCGCUGCUAUCCUGUCUGACAUUCUUGUUAGUGCCUUGCCUUUCCCAACAAAGUGGUAUCAAAGCAUUGGUUGUUGUUCAUUAUUGAUUUGAAUUAUGGAGGCAAAUAUGAGCAAGAUGGUUUGUUUGAAUGGUAGUAACUAUCAUAUAUGGAUAGGUAAGAUGAAAGAUCUUCUAUUUAUCAAGAAAAUGCAUUUACCUGUGUUUACCUCUAAUAAACCCCAAUCCAUGACGGAUGAGGAAUGGGAAUUUGAGCUCUUGCAGGUUUGUGGCUAUAAUAGACAAUGAGUUGAAGAUAAUGUUCGAAAUCACAAUGUGAAUGAGACACAUGCCAGAAGUUUGUGGGACAAGCUCGAGACGCUAUAUGCUUCGAAGACUGGCAACAAUAAGUUGUUUCUAUUGAAACAAUUGAUGAAUAUCAGGUAUAAAGAGGACACUCCUAUUUCUGAUCAUAUUAAUGAUUUUCAGGGUGUUCUUGANNNNNNNNNNNNNNNNNNNNNNNNNNNNNNNNNNNNNNNNNNNNNNNNNNNNNNNNNNNNNNNNNNNNNNNNNNNNNNNNNNNNNNNNNNNNNNNNNNNNNNNNNNNNNNNNNNNNNNNNNNNNNNNNNNNNNNNNNNNNNNNNNNNNNNNNNNNNNNNNNNNNNNNNNNNNNNNNNNNNNNNNNNNNNNNNNNNNNNNNNNNNNNNNNNNNNNNNNNNNNNNNNNNNNNNNNNNNNNNNNNNNNNNNNNNNNNNNNNNNNNNNNNNNNNNNNNNNNNNNNNNNNNNNNNNNNNNNNNNNNNNNNNNNNNNNNNNNNNNNNNNNNNNNNNNNNNNNNNNNNNNNNNNNNNNNNNNNNNNNNNNNNNNNNNNNNNNNNNNNNNNNNNNNNNNNNNNNNNNNNNNNNNNNNNNNNNNNNNNNNNNNNNNNNNNNNNNNNNNNNNNNNNNNNNNNNNNNNNNNNNNNNNNNNNNNNNNNNNNNNNNNNNNNNNNNNNNNNNNNNNNNNNNNNAUGUUCGCUUGAAUUUGAUUUAUGUUGGAUACCUUGAUGAUGAGAGUUAUGUUAAUACCGUUGGUGCUGGCCAAUGGAAGCUUACUACAAGUUCGAUGGUUGUAGCCCAUGGUGAUAAGUCGUCUAACUUGUAUGUUUUUCAGGGCUCCAUUUUUAGAGGCUCAGUGAAUUUGGUGGAGAAUGAUACUUCAUCAUUGUUAUGGCAUAGAAGACUGAGUCAUAUGAGCGAGAAGGGGAUGAACAAUUUGGCUAAGAAGAAUUUGCUUUUUAGAGUGAAACAGGCAAAGUUGAACAAGUGUGUUCAUUGCUUAGCAGGUAAAUAGAAAAGAGUUUCUUUCAGAGUCAUCCGCCUUCAAGAAAACUUGAUUUGCUGGAGUUGGUACAUUCUGAUUUGUGUGGUCCUUUUAAGGUAAGGUCUCAUGGUGGUGCACUUUAUUUUGUGACUUUUAUUGAUGAUUAUUCACGCAAACUCUGGGUAUUCUCUUUGAAGUCCAAGGAUCAAGUACUUGAUGUGUUCAAGAGUUUUCAGGCCUUGGUUGAGAGACAAACAAGAAAGAAAUUGAAAUGCAUUUCGUUCUGAUAAUGGUGGUGAGUAUAUUGGCCCUUUGAAAACUCCUCCAAAGACUCCUCAGCUAAAUGGUUUAGCGGAGAGGAUGAACAAAACUCUUGUUGAGAGGGUUAGAUGUAUGCNNNNNNNNNNNNNNNNNNNNNNNNNNNNNNNNNNNNNNNNNNNNNNNNNNNNNNNNNNNNNNNNNNNNNNNNNNNNNNNNNNNNNNNNNNNNNNNNNNNNNNNNNNNNNNNNNNNNNNNNNNNNNNNNNNNNNNNNNNNNNNNNNNNNNNNNNNNNNNNNNNNNNNNNNNNNNNNNNNNNNNNNNNNNNNNNNNNNNNNNNNNNNNNNNNNNNNNNNNNNNNNNNNNNNNNNNNNNNNNNNNNNNNNNNNNNNNNNNNNNNNNNNNNNNNNNNNNNNNNNNNNNNNNNNNNNNNNNNNNNNNNNNNNNNNNNNNNNNNNNNNNNNNNNNNNNNNNNNNNNNNNNNNNNNNNNNNNNNNNNNNNNNNNNNNNNNNNNNNNNNNNNNNNNNNNNNNNNNNNNNNNNNNNNNNNNNNNNNNNNNNNNNNNNNNNNNNNNNNNNNNNNNNNNNNNNNNNNNNNNNNNNNNNNNNNNNNNNNNNNNNNNNNNNNNNNNNNNNNNNNNNNNNNNNNNNNNNNNNNNNNNNNNNNNNNNNNNNNNNNNNNNNNNNNNNNNNNNNNNNNNNNNNNNNNNNNNNNNNNNNNNNNNNNNNNNNNNNNNNNNNNNNNNNNNNNNNNNNNNNNNNNNNNNNNNNNNNNNNNNNNNNNNNNNNNNNNNNNNNNNNNNNNNNNNNNNNNNNNNNNNNNNNNNNNNNNNNNNNNNNNNNNNNNNNNNNNNNNNNNNNNNNNNNNNNNNNNNNNNNNNNNNNNNNNNNNNNNNNNNNNNNNNNNNNNNNNNNNNNNNNNNNNNNNNNNNNNNNNNNNNNNNNNNNNNNNNNNNNNNNNNNNNNNNNNNNNNNNNNNNNNNNNNNNNNNNNNNNNNNNNNNNNNNNNNNNNNNNNNNNNNNNNNNNNNNNNNNNNNNNNNNNNNNNNNNNNNNNNNNNNNNNNNNNNNNNNNNNNNNNNNNNNNNNNNNNNNNNNNNNNNNNNNNNNNNNNNNNNNNNNNNNNNNNNNNNNNNNNNNNNNNNNNNNNNNNNNNNNNNNNNNNNNNNNNNNNNNNNNNNNNNNNNNNNNNNNNNNNNNNNNNNNNNNNNNNNNNNNNNNNNNNNNNNNNNNNNNNNNNNNNNNNNNNNNNNNNNNNNNNNNNNNNNNNNNNNNNNNNNNNNNNNNNNNNNNNNNNNNNNNNNNNNNNNNNNNNNNNNNNNNNNNNNNNNNNNNNNNNNNNNNNNNNNNNNNNNNNNNNNNNNNNNNNNNNNNNNNNNNNNNNNNNNNNNNNNNNNNNNNNNNNNNNNNNNNNNNNNNNNNNAAUGGAUGUUAAACUUGCUUUUCUCCAUGGUGACUUGGAUGAAGAAAAUUAUAUGGAGCAGCCGGAAGGUUUUGAAGUCAAGGGAAAAGAGAAUUAUGUUUGCAAAUUGAAGAAGAGCUUGUAUGGCUUAAAACAAGCUCCCAGGCAAUGGUACAUGAAGUUUGGUUCUUUAAUGAGUCAGCAGGGCUUCAAGAAGACUUCUUCAGACCAUUGUGUUUUUGUGCAAAAAAUCUCUGAUGGUGACUUUAUUAUCAUUUUACUUUAUGUUGAUGACAUGCUUGUUGUUGGUCAUAAUGCUUGCAGGAUUAAAGAGUUGAAUAAGUUUUUUGCUAUGAAAGACUUUAAGACCAGCAAGACAGAUUCUUGGCAUGCAGAUUGUCCGUGAUAGAGAUGCUAAGAAGUUGUGGUUGUCACAAGAGAAGUAUAUUCAGAAAGUACUUUGUAGAUUCAACAUGGACAACGCUAAGGUUGUCAAUACACCUUUAGCUAUGCACUUCAAAUUGAGUACUAGACAUUGUCCUUCCAGUGAUGGUGAGAAGGAAGAUAUGAAGAAAGUUCUUUAUGCUUCAGUUGUUGGCAGUUUGAUGUAUGCAAUGGUUUGUAUAAGACCAGAUAUUGCUCAUGCUGUUAGUAUUGUUAGUCGUUUUCUUUCUAAUCCGGGAAGAGAGCAUUGGAAUGUUGUUAAGUGGAUUAUGAGAUAUCUUUGUGGCACUUCUAGUUUGAGUUUGUGUUUUGGUACAGGGAAGCCUAUUCUUUGUGGCUCCACUAAUUCAGACAUGGCUGGUGAUGUUGAUACUCGUAAGUCUACUUCAGGCUACUUGAUUACUUUUGCAGGGGAGCUGUGUCUUGGCAAUCUAGGUUGCAAAAAUGUGUUGUUUUAUCUACUACAGAGGCUAAACUUAUUGCUGCUGUUGAAGCUUGCAAAGAGUUGAUAUGGAUGAAGAGAUUUUUGGGGGAACUUGGUUGUGCUUAAGAGAGGUAUGUGCUUUAUUGUGAUGGUCAAAGUGCUAUUCAUCUUGGCAAGAAUUCUACAUUUCAUGAUCGGUCUAAACACAUUGAUGUGAGGUAUCAUUGGAUUCGAGAUGUCUUGGAUUCUAAGUUGCUUGAACUUGAAAAGAUCCAUACCAAUGAUAAUGGUUCCGACAUGAUGACUAAAGCUUUGCCAAGAGGGAAGUUUGAGGAUUGUUGCAUGAUCGCCGGGAUGGCGAUCUCCUCCACAUAGUUGUGAGGGGGAGAAUUGGGUUUUAUUUGCCGUGAUUUCUUACCAUAAAUAAGUUUUCCUUUUAGGAAAAGGUAUAAGAUUAGCUAGUCCUUUUCUUGUAGGAAAGGGUUUAGGACUCUAAUAGAGACUUGUUGAGUUCUCCACAUCUGUUUCUUGCAAUUCAACGGUGUAGAACGAAUUUGGAGGUCUGUAGGUUCUGAUUUGAGGGCGUGAACAGUAGCACGUUUUGGGGUGAAAUCUCUUCUUUAAUUUUCUAGUUUUGGUGCAAUCUUGAUUUGUUGUUGCUCGUUGUUUGGCGCUUGUUUUGUGGCCAAUUUUGGAGAACAAUUUUGUAACUCUUGGUGUUUAUAGUGGAGCUUUUGGUCCUGUGGUUUUUUUACUCUUCACGUUGAAGGGUUUUCCACAUAAAUCGUUGUGUCUUGUGUGAUUGGUUUAUUCUUAUCUUGUUACUUUAGUUUGGUUGAUAUACUUGCUGUCCAUUCUUCAUAUUGCUUGAUUUGGUUUGUCUUCUCUUGGUUCAAAUUAAAAGGGAAAGUUUAGAUUUUGAUAUUAUUCCACUGCUAUCUUGUCUGGCAUUCUUGUUAGUGCCUUGCCUUUCCCAACAUUUCAUCCUAUGCUCAUUCCACACAAUUAAAACUCGGGAUCCAAACUAGCCCUUUACUAGCCUAAAUUUGACAUUCUCCGGAACUGACAAAAUCACCAUCCGACACUCAGAUCUCGAAAUGUUGACUAAAUCAACUCUCUCAAAAUGAAUCACCUAAAAAACCGCUAAAAUCACUCCCCCAACACUUUGGGAACCAUGCCAACCAACCCUACAUCACAAAUAAAGCAAAACACAACUAUGGAGAAGGACAAAAUAAUUAUUUUAUAGAAAAAGUAAAAAAAAAUAUGAAACUGGAUAUAACAACUAGGUACUUGGGAAAUGGAAAACGAUUUUGUAAAUAAAGAUAAGAUGGAUUUUAUUAUUUAUUUAUUUAUUUAUUUAUCUUUAUCACAUAUUCUCUUUAAUAAAUCUAUAAAAUAAGGAAUGGAUGGUAAGUGUUGGCCUAUCGAAUUAGAAUCGACUAGGUAUCCACAUGAUCCAAUAUUUUAAAUUGUAAUAGGUAAUAAAAGUGGGUUCGGAUUUUGAGAGAACGACGAGAAGCGUAUGAUUGCACUGCAAAUUAAAAGGACAAAACAUAGAUGUCAAUGGGGCCCAAAGAGUUCUUUUGAAUUAGCAACGUAAGUAAUCGAUCUCCUUGCCAUAAGACAAUCACAACAAAUGUAUGAGAGUCAAAAGUCUCAUCACUAAUGUCUCUUUGACCGCCAAGAAAAUACAAAAAGAAAACCAUCUUUCAUCCCAAAAAGAAAAAAUAAUUCAUUCUUUUUUUUCAUGUCACAUUUCACUUUAUAAAAUUAAAUGGACUAAUUUUUAAAGUUUAUUAAGUUAUUUUAAUUUAAUAAAUUAAAUUUUAAAUUUAAAUAUUAAAAUUUUAUUAAAAUAUUAUAACUUAUUAUAUUUUACAUUAAUAUUAUAAAAAUAUGGAUUAAAUAUCAUUUUAAAAUUCAUAUAAUUUAAUUCUCGAAAAGUAGGGAUUAAAAAAAAUACAGGGAGUAAUUAUUAUUACUAUGUUGCUGUUCUCACUAAUAAUUUUCCAAACUUUGACUGGGGUUGUCACUUUAAUCGAGGGCUCCCUCUUAGUUGAAUUUCGAGGUACUUUUUCUUUUGAUAGCACCGUUAAUUGACAAUCAUGUCCCUACAACCUUUUCAUAUUUUAGUGUUCUUAGAAUCCAUUUGAUAAAAUUAUUUUCAUUCAUUCGUUUUUAAUUUAUUUAAUUUUUGUUUUUAAUUGAUUUACUUUUUAAAUUUCAUUUUAAUGAAACUAUUUUCUUAAUUUUAAUUUUCACAUGAUAUGAUUAAAAAUAAAAGAUUAAAGAAUUGAUAUAUUUUAAAUUAAGAUUAGAAGAUUAAUUUUUUUUUGUUUUCUUAAAUGUCAUGUCAAGUUAAAAUAUUACAAAUAAAUUAAAACGGAGUUUAAAAAUAACUUUUUCUCUUUAAAAAAUAGUAUUUAAAUAAAUAUUUCUAAAUAUAUGUGAUUGUAUUUUGAAUUUAGACAACAACUUAUAACUUGUUUUUCAACUCACUUUUCACUUUUAAAAUUAUAUUAACAUACAUUAAGCAUGAACAUUAUUCCAAGUAAGCUUCAACACCGGCUGUCCUUCUAUUUUAUCGGGAGGAACGAGCCCAGGCACCUCCCAUUUUUUUUUUUACAAAUAUUCUAUUUUAAACUUCAACUUCAUAAGUUCAAAAUAAAAUAAAAAUAUUUAAAAUUUAUAGUAUAACGCCUACUUAUCCUUCCAAUCAAUUUUAGUGAUACAAGUAAGCUAAAAUUAUCAAGGUUUAUUGACUAAUAAAUCAUUUUAAAUUAUUAGAGUCAUGAUCAUAGUUAGUUAUCUUAUUUAAAUUGUACUAGUGACAUGUUAUUGAGCGAAUAAGUCAAUAUUUGGCUAUAUUUUUAUUGUGAUAUUAAAUUUACUUAAAUACAAGAUUAUCCACAACAAAAUUUAAUAAAAAAUAUCAAAGAUGAAAUGAGGCAACAAUCAACAUUAUUUAAGCUAAGUUUUAUUGUAAAUCACAAAUUUAAAUUUAAAAAGUGUAUGGAUUUUCAAUAAAUAAAAAAAGAACAAAAAUGAAAAAAAACAACAACAAUAAUAAUAUAUAUAAUAUUUUAUAAGUAAAAUUCAAAUAUGAUAUAACAAAUGCAAAUUUUACCCAACUUUUACGGAAAUGAGUAAAAAAAAUAAACUACUCUUGGUAUAGUCUAGCUCAAAAUAGGAUUGAAUGGAAAAUGAAACGUUUUUAUGAGGGAACAUAAUUAAGAAAACAAUUAUUGACAUAGUGAGUUUACUAUUUCACCCCUACUAAUUAUGAAGUGAAUGAAUUAAAAAUUUAAGAUUUUCAAGAAAUUAUACCUUUUUCAAAGUAAUUAAUUGAGGGUAUAAUAGAUAAAAUUAUUUUGUCAUUUCUUGAUUUGUCAAAAUAGACAUGUAAUUAGGGACCGAGAGAGUAUUAGGUGGGGUGAUUUUUCCUUUAAUAAAAAAGGAAAAGAGAAUUAAUGAUUUAAAUUGAAAAAUUUGCUAGUUUAAUUUUAUGGAAAAAAUAGUUAAUAGGGGCAAAAGAGUCUUUGUGAUGAGAUAAGAAUAAAGUGGCAUGUUUCUUAAUUGAGAAAUUUACUCAUGGGGGUUUGAGUGUUUGACUACUGCUUCUUUCUACUCCAUUUCUAUCAACCUUUUCUCUCUCAAAAAAAUCAAUCUGCCGUUUCUCAUUUGACUCUCCUCUCUCUUUAGGGUUUCUUAGCUCAUCGAAACGUUAAACCUUACAAUACUUCAAACAUCGAUCAAUACAAUUUGCUGAAGCACGCAAUUUUUCAAGGUUCGUUUUCUAUGAAUUGAUAAUUUAGUUUGUUAUUAUGAAUCCUUGUUGUUGUUGCCAAAGAUCUUUGUGUUUGCUGUUUAGAUAAGUUUAUUAUUAUUUCUGCUUUUCCAAGAAAAAAAACACAAUUUCUACUGGAUCAUCCUAUUCAAUUUGAAUGUCAAAUUCAGAAGAACAAUUUUGGCCUUUUCUUUUAUUGUUUUGAAAAUUCACGGCUUAUAUGUUUAAUGCCAGUAUGUUGUAAUUGAUUGCGUAUCACCUUUUGUUUUGUUGGAAUUUAGAUAAUUUUAUUUAUUUAGUAUAUCCGUUUGUUCGCUUGUUGAUUUUUUGCCUCUCAUGUGUUUGGAACCUAGGAAGUUAUGUUUAUAUUGGAAUUAUGUAAUUCUCUAGAUUUGAUGAUUUGUAAAACAUGAAGGUUAAAUUGAAAUUGAGUUGUGUGGUCGUAUUUCGCGAUUGAAUUGUAAGUUUGUUUAUGCUACUGAUUUGGCAGGACUGUAUAAACAACAAAGAUGGGUUGUUUCACAGUUUUAAAAAGUAAGAAGAAGAAGUCUGAACAGAGUAUUCACAUCAAACGUGUGAAUCCUCAGGAACAUUCUCCUACUGCAUUGCCCGAGCCUCAAGUGCAGACACGGUCGUUGCAGUCGGCACCUCCAAGUUUUAGAACUAGAGUAAAACCUGUACAGUCGAGUAAUAGAGUUACAAGCAGUAGGGCGCGGGCACUCUCUGCCCCAUCUAGCCUGGACUCAGCAGAACAAGAUGUAGCAUCAAAUGAAUGUGAGGAACAUGAUGAGUUCAAGAGUCGUAUUGGUUCAAUCAAGGAGUACCAAUCACCAAGUCCUCAGCCUCUUCCUCUUCCAUCUCCACAGAGUGCCGCUGCCACUCUCAAGACUAUGGGAAGCUUUAAAGUUGGCAAUGCCAGCGGUCCUUUAAAUGCCUCUGGACCCCUGCCACUGCCUCCUACACUGCCUUCAACAUUGCCUUCUACUGGAGCACUCAGGAACUUCUCAUUUGAAGAACUUGCUGCUGCCUGCCACCGCUUCUCACCUGAACGGUGUAUGUCAGAAGGUCUCUCUUCUGUUAUUUACAGAGCUUCUUUUGGAGAUGAUGCAACUGGUACAAAGAAGCUUGAAGCCACUGUAACCCGGCUUCAUCCUUCUUCGCAGGUAUGAUUUAUUGACUUUGAAUUAUCUUGCGUGUACUUAUCAUUUUUUGGCCCCCCUCUCUUUUUUCCUUUUGAUUGGGUGAGGAGGGGGUCGGCAUCUUUUUUCUGAUUGCCAUGUGAUAUCUAAUAUUGGGAAGGCUCAUACUUUGGCUAGAUUAGUGGUUUUGUUUCUUCAUCAUCUAACAUAUGUAAUUUUAGAGAAGCAAGGUUGCUAUCCAGAGGUUGAAUUUCUGGGAUGCAACUCCUGCGUCACACUGUAUUGAAAAUUUUCAUUUGUAGAUCAUGUCAGGGAAAAAAUGGUCUGAAUUUCUUGGUUUAAAUUUAGGAUACAAUUUGGCAGGUUACUUGCUUCUACAAUUCUUUAUGAGUUUUGUAAGAGUCACUAUCUUUUGGCUUUUCAGGGGUUGAAGGAAUUUGUGACUGAGGUGAACACACUAGCUUCUUUGCAACAUCCAUCACUUUGUAAACUGAUUGGUUUCCAUGCACGGGAAGGUUCCGAGCACAGAAUGUUGGUUUAUGAAAGGCUUUUUCAUGGAAGCUUAGACCGGCUUUUGUUUGGGAGGUCAGAUGGUCCACCGAUAGACUGGAAUGCUCGAACGAAAAUUGCUUUAUGUGCUGCUCAAGGUCUCACAUUCCUGCAUGAGGAAGGACCUUUUCAGGUGGCAAUGCUGCUUCCUAAACCUGUAGUCUAAUCAUGGUUGCCUUCAUUUUCUCUAUGCAACCUUGUAUUACUCCAUGUUACCUUUGUGUCUCUUUAUUGAGGAAUCUCCAUUUUUUUAUAUAGGGGUAGGCCUAUAUAUUGCUAAGUUUUUUAUUUCCUGUGACAGGCAAUGUUCCAUGAAUUUUCCACUGCAAAUAUACAAAUUGAUAAGGAUUGCAGUGCAAAGCUCUCGGGAUAUGGAUGCAUUACUCAUAUACAAGAGACAGACAUAUCAUGCAGUUCAGCUGUAAGUUCUCCUAUGUUAACAGUUGCCGAACACUCAUCUCUCUCUCUCUAUCAUACACCCUGGUCUUAAAAGUUCCACUAACAAUCGGGGUCGCCUAGUAGUUGCCUGGGCAUAGUGAUCAGUGUGAUAUCAGCAUACCCUGUAUACUACACCACUAAUUGGUAGUGUAAAUGAAUAGGAUCUUUGCAACUAUGCAGGUUCUGUGUAAUAGUUGAGGCUCAUGUUUAUUGGAUGUGGUUCUUAAUAGCUGCAUAUAGCCAUAGUUUGUGUCCCAUUUGGCCAUAAAAAUUGUUUCACUAGUUCAACUUGAACCUGAAAUAAACCAAAGUUUGUGGUUUUACUAUUUUGUCCAUUAUAUUAUCUCCAACUUGAGAUAGAGAAUUUGAUAUCGAAAAACUUGUUUGAGGAGUAUUUCAAGUGAAAUAAUAGUUCACUGACAAAACAUGACUUCAACUUCCAAAUUCAACUGGAAGUCAUGAUUAAACAUGACUUUGACUUCCAAAUUUUAUUUAUUUUUUCAAUGUAAACUUCAAUUACUUCUUUCUUUUUUCAACUUCAACCAAAUAUUGUCCAAACUCCUAACUAGUAUUUGCUCUAUGUAUAUUUCAUCUUUGUGAAUUUUAAAAGAAAAAGAGGUAUUUGUGCCACUCGCUAGGUCUAAUUGGCAUUUUAGCAUGUGUUCUGCUUGAAGUUGUUCACACUCUGUGACCUCUUCAAAGAUCCUAGAACUUUCUUGUUAAUAAUAUUGAGUUUUUCAGGCCCUGGCAAAUCUCUCUGAGGAGACUCUGGAGCGAGGAUUGGUAACUCCGAAGAGCAAUGUUUGGAGUUUUGGGAUUGUUCUUCUUGAGCUGCUGACUGGCCGGAAGAAUUUUGACAGUCGGCAUCCAAAGGAAGAGAGGAAUUUAGUGAAGUGGAGCAGGCCUUUCCUAGCUGAUGACGGUAGAUUAUCGCUAAUCAUGGACCCUCAGUUAAAAGGUCGGUUCCCUGCCAAAGCAGCAAGAACAGUGGCUGAUAUUGCUCAAAGAUGUCUGCAAAAGGAUCCAUCUGAAAGGCCCACCAUGAGAACUGUAGUGGAGCAACUCAAGGCUGUACAAGUGAUGAAGUACCCUUCUAGGUUUCCUCUUCAAGAGCCAUGGGCAGUUGGUGUAAAACGCAUGUCAAAGUCUCCGAGCCUAAAUGGAAUCAUUACCCCAACAUCAAGAUUGAGCUUCACCCCUUCACCACCAACCCACCCUUUAUCUAUUUCUCCGACAAGGACAGCUGCUCCACUGCUGUCUCUACCUUCAUGUUCCUCCAUCCUCUCUAUGGAGGACUUUGAUCGAUUGGAAAACCGAAGGCCAUCAUCUUCAUCUGUUCGGAGGUCUAGUGUCGAAGGAUUUUGAUCGAUUGUAGAGCAUUUUUUUCUUCAAAUUGCUUUUUUUCGUUUUUGGGCCCUUCCCUUUUGACAAGUGAUUACAUGAAAAGAUAUAGAAGAUAAGCACAUGGUUUUCCACCUUCCCUUUCCUCAUGGGAGAAGAUGUGGGGAAUGCCAUUUUGUAAAUAUGGUAUCCAUUUGGUUUAAGUAGUGUUCCCUAAUCGAGAUCCUGAGGGAGAUAUUAAUGUUGCUUGUUAUCGUUUUUCUUGUUUGCUUACAACCGCCGCUGCCUGGAAAAGAAAUAGACAAGGAAAAAGAAAGAGAAGAUGAUUGGAAAAUCCAGGUUAGGUGCUGUAAAAGAACGUAAUUUGCAUAAGAAGGGUAUCUUAAAGAGCAAUUGUUGCUUCAGUGCUGUAAAAGAAGGUAAUUUGGAUAAUAAGGUAUCUCAAAGAAUAUUUAACAAGAAUUUUGCGAUAGGCAUGAAAAGAGAUGUUUUCAACUUGACAGCAGUGAGGCUGGUGCAAGCAUGCUACUGCUGUAUCUUUUGAAGGGGAGUAUUAGUGGAACUGGUAAAGUUGUUAUCUUGAGUUCAAUUUGUGGAAAUAGUCUCUCGUAGAAAUGCAGGGUGGUGUUGCGUACAAUAGACCCAUAGCGAAAAUUUAGUGCACCGAGCUAUCUUUUAUUUGUAAGCUGGUACUGUGGUGAAUGUUCAAGAGUCCUUGUAUCAUUAAGUUUCUAAAACUUGGAAAAACAGGACCAUUAACAAGGUGAGGAAGCUAUACAUCUCAAUUUUCAAUUUCAGCAGAUGAGACAGUAAUUGCAGCAAUUUUCCUAUACUACAGUAAAUAUACUAAAAACCUCUUUACAACAAAGCUUGCCAUCAAAAUAAACUAAGAAUUAAUUCAAGUAAGUUCGAGUCGAUUAUAUGAAUCCUCAAUUCAAAAUCUCAUCCCCCGGCGAAUAUACCUCGGUUUAUUUCUUGUCGCCACCCCACAUUUCAGUGCUAAACCAUACAAGUAACAAGCAUUCAAUAUCAUUCCUUUUUGAUUCAGCUCAUUGAUCAACAAGUUAAAUGGAACUUUACUAGGAGACUUUCCAUCUUUCAUCAUAAGAACAAAAACUAACGCCGCCUUCUCAACUUCUCCCUCCAAACAAAGUACACGAAUGAGAUUAGAGAAGGUGAAUGCCUUGGGAGAAUUCCCAAUUCUAACAAUCUCAUACAAAUUCUCCAGUGCUUUAUCCAGCUUGUUACCACUACAAAAAGCUUCAAUAACCAGCUCAUAACCAACAGGAUCUACAACCAGUUUUCGGCUCCGCAUUUUUACAAACACUUGAUAUGCAUCUUGUAAGAGUUCUUUCUGUUUCCUAGAUAGCCUGCAUAACCCUCUCAACAACGUAUUCAUCAUCCUCUCAUCAACCCCAAAUUCAAGUUUCAACAUCUCCUUGUAAAUCGAUAAAGCAGCUUCAAUUUUCCCCCAUUUCAACAACCCAUGUAACAAUGUGCUGUAAGUGAUAUGAUCAGGCAUACAUUUUUCCUCUUUCAUUUUCCUCAACAAACCAAUCCCAUCUAAAGGUCUGCCUUCUUUAAAAUACCCAUUAAACAGAGUAUUGUAAGUAACUACAUUAGGGGUCAACCCCAUUUCCAUAGCUUCUUCAAGCAAUUCCAAUGCCUCAUUGGACCUACCCACCUUACAGAAACCAUCCAUAACAGCAGUAUAAGUAUACAUAUCAGGUUUUAUCUUAGAUUUCUUGAUAUUCAUAAGCAAGUCAUAGGCUUCCUCUACUCUACCAAGAAAACAAAGACCUUUAAGCAAGCAAUUGUAAGUAUGAAUUGUGGGUUCACAUCCAAUUUGACCCAUAACAUCAAAAACCUGAUGGGCUUGUUGUAAUUUUCCAGCUUUGCAGAAUGAAUUGAUGAGAGUUGUAAAAGUUUCAACUUUUGGUUGAAACCCAUGUUCCAACAUGUGACCUAAAAUGGAUUUGGCUGUUUCAGGGUCAUCUUUUUUGCAGUACAAAUUGACCCAAAUUGAGUAUGUGUAUUCAUUGGGUGUCAAUGCAUAAAAUGAUGAAGAUGAGGUCAGUUUCAAAGCUAGCUCAAACUCAUCUUCUAAAACUAAAGAUGCAAGUUGAUGAUUGAAAUCAGAUAUGGUUUGAAACCCACCAUUUUUUGAAGCUUGAACAACAUCUGGAUUAAUAGUAUCAAGAAAUAGAGGAGUGCAAGUUUGUUUGUGAGCAAAGUGAAUCUGGGUUCCAUUUUUGUUUAGAGAAGUGGAUAGUAGAGGCGUAACAGAGAAAACCAGGUGUUGCUGGCUAGGGGAGAGAACUUGGCUAGGGGAGAGAGCUGAACAAGGCAUAGCAGUUUAGCAAUAGCAAAAACUUUGAGCAAUUUACAAGACUUUUAUUAUAGGUUAUUAUUAUUAUCAAACGUAUUAUUUCAUAUUUAUAAAUAUUUUCUUAAUAAAUUAUCCAAAUUCAUCGAAUGUGAAAUUUUGGUUUGGGAGCUCAUAGAGGCUAGAGGGAUAUUUAAUCUUCUCUUUUUUCUAUAUGCUUAACAUAUACUCCCACUGUCUCAAUUUAUGUGCCAAGGAGGCAUGGAUCAGGGAACGGAGGGAGUAUAAAUUAAAUAAUAAUACUAAUAAUAAUAAGAAGAAGAAGAAGAAGUGAGGUCUGAAGAUGGUAGUACACAUGUAGACGAGAAAAUGUCAUAAAUAGUCCAUCAACUAUACUUUUUGUCGGAUUUAAUGUUGUAACUAUUCAAAAACUUAUUAACUUUGGUCAUUGAACUAUACACUCACCGAUUUUAGUAAUUUAAGUAUUCAAAAACAUAUCUUUGGUAUAGUUAAUGGACCAAAUCUAAUAAGUUUUUGAUUAGUUGAAGGACUGAGUCUAACAAAAGUAUAGUUAAGGGACUAUUUAUGACAUUUUGUCUAUGCAGACCUUCUAAAUAAGAAUGUGAACAAUGCAAAUUUUAAUUUUAAAAAAUAUAAUAUAAAAUUAGAAAUAAUAAAAUCUGACUCAAAAUUUUGAGAAGUUGAUAUAAUGAUAUUGAGAUAGUGUUACGCAUAAUUUGAUAAGUUGAUACAAUGUUUUCGAAAUAGUGUUGUUGAAUUUGAUAUAAUGAUAUCGAAAUAGUGUUGUGUUGCUUCAACAUAAUGAUAACUUGUUGAAAUGCUUUGCAAUUUUGAAGAAGACACCAAAAUCUAAUUUUUUUUAAACGACAACAAUAUUUUUUUGCAGAAUGCAGAAGGGAAGGUUUGACUAUAUAUUUAGGAGACUUCAGUCAAUAAUAAGAGAAUAAAAAUAGCGAAUGACAGAAUGGAAUAGAUAAAUAUAAGAAUAAUAAUGUGUUCAUGUUAGUUGUCAAGAUAUAAAUGAGGCAACAAAUAGAUAGUCAUGAUAAAAAAAAAAUGAUACCACAAUUAUCUAAAACCUAUUACAUUUUAUUACAAUAAUCCUUAUUAAAAGGAAAAAAAUUAUUAUGUUUUAUAUCCCACAAUUUCUUUUCAGCUACAUUUAUCAAAUUGUGGUGUCUAUGAUGGAUUUUGAUGAAACGAUUAUGUUGACAACUAUGAUUUAUGAAUUAUGAUCAAAUCAAAUUUUGCGAACAAAGAUAGUUCAAACAUAUGAAAAUCAUUUGUUUUGAGGAGUUUUGGUUUGGAAUAAUGGAGGUACAAUCUUAGGAGCUAAAACAAAGAGGCUCUAACGAUUAGGGGGAAUAAGCGGUAGUAUCGAUGUAAUUUUUGCUUGAGAGUGCUUAUAUGAGGUCUACUAUUUUCAGUUGCUCGACAGUUUGGGUAUUUUUCUUGUCUGUUCUAGAUCAAUGAAUAAUAUUUAAAUGGUCGGUGAUGUAAUGACUUGCAUGGUAGGUUUUUCCUUUUGAAACUAUUUUUUCAACCUUUUGAUAGCUUCAUUAUGUUAUUUAUGACUUGCAAGAAUGGGUGACACAAUUUUCAAGGUGAUCAAAUAAUGAUUGAUUGAGAUUUUCAAGUUUGAAAUUUAAGAAGUUUGACUAAAGUCAUAUUUCAGAUAAGUGAGGUAGAUUUUGAGUUCUGAUAGUUCUGUUAGGUUCCAGAAGUGAUUUUUGAUUUAGUUGAAUGAUUGAUUCGGGUCAUGAUGUAUGUUCGGGAGUGAUUUAGGCCGUUUAAUUGAAUUUUUGAGUUUUGAGGAAGUUAAAUUUGACCAUGAUCAAAUUUUGGUCAAGAAAACCUCAAAUGAGUGAUUUGAUGAUUCCAACAAGUCUGUAAUAUGUUUUAUAAUCUAUUUGUACUAUUCAUUUGCGUCCAGAGGAUCUCAAAUGAGUUUUGAAUGCUUGUUCGAAGAUUGAUGUUUAAACGUGUUAAGCUUUAAUGGUACCACUUAACGUAAACCAACUUGAAAUGGUAUUUGUAUUGAACCAUUAGAUCUGUAUCGUAAUUUGGAAACCAUAGCAAAAAUAAUUGCCGCAUUUCAAGUUUGUAUAAGGAAGUUAUGAUCUUUUUAUUGAAACUAGUCGUUGUUGGGGCUUCAUCGUAACGAAGGAAGGACCACAACAGAGGACCCACAAGUGUGGAAGUGGAUCCACAGGUGUCGCGCUAGAGCGAAGAGGGGCCCAUGGAAGUGAAGGUCCCUGAAGGUUAAAUUUUAUAUUGAUUUUAAUUCACUAAAAAAUAAAUUUUGAGAGAUAGAGAGCUCUGUUUGAGAUAAUUUUUAUACCUUUUUCUCAUAUAAACGUUGGGUAUGUGUGUAGAUAGUAAAAUUCGCGUCGAGAAAAUAAUAAUCAAGAAUGGAAAAGUAUUGCAACAAUCGUAUUUAUUAAUUUCAAAGUGCGAGUGUUACAAACUCUAUGAUUCCUCUUAAUUCGCCUUUUCAGAUAUAAUUCAAGGGCUCUUGAGCUUGAUCUUGAAUUUGUUCUUGGGAUUCAAGGCCCUUUGGAGCUUGUUCCUGAAUCUUUGAUAAAUCAGAACUUGAUCUUGAUCUUGAUCUUGACUUCAUACUUGAAUUCAAGAGUUUCGAGCUUGAUCUUGAAUCUUGUAGUCUUGAUCUUGAUUUGUGGAUCUGAUGAACUUAUUAUGGACUUGAACUUGAUCUUGGAUUCAAGGGCUUUGGAGCUUGUUCUUGAAUCUUUGAUGAGCUUGAACUUUAUCUUGACUUUAAUUUGAAAUCAAGGGCUUCGAGCUUGAUCUUGAAUCUUAUAGUCUUGAUCUUGAUUUGUGGAUUUGAUCAUUAACUUGAUGAUCUUGAUCUUGGAUUCAAGGGCUUUGGAGCUUGUUCUUGAAUCUUCUAUGAACUUGAACUUGAACUUUAUCUUGACUUAUAGUUGAAUUCAAGGCUUCGAGCUUGAUCUUGAAUCCGGUGGUCUUGAUCUUGAUCGCCUGAAUUCUUGAACUUGUAGAGAAAUCUGCUACUUUUGAAACCACGAGCUUUCUCUAGCUUCUAGUUAAGAAUUCUUGGUCCUUUUUCUGAAUUAUGAGGACCCUAUUUAUAAUUUUAGAAUGGAUGAGUUGUGAUAGGAACAUGAAUCUGUAGCGACCCUUUCGAAAGGAUAGUACCACUUAAACAAGAAAUCUAAUUAAAUACUUGUGACAUUUAAAAGAGGUUAUCUAUGGCCAUAUUGAUUUUAAUCUAGUAGAGGGAUUAAGUUCAUAAUGAACAAUUUAGUUAAGGAUAUACAUCUUGCCCAUUUAAAUAUUUAUUUGAUGUUAAAAUUGACAUGGCGCGGAAUUUAACUUAUGACGGAAAAACCCUCCCAGAAUAAUUUAAGCAAAUAACUGACGAGCUUUUCAUGCAUAUAUUAUCCUCACACUUAAGGAUGAGAUAACAAGAAUAUUACCAACUUCCGAGUACCGAAAUCAGUCGGUUCAUGCUUCACACAAACAUUCAAAACUAAUAGUAAAUUUCGUAUAUUACAAGACUUGGAUUUACACAGCCCAAAAGAACAAAACAUAUAGACAUACUUAUAUUACAGCCCAUGGUGACAUGAUCAAAUUAGUCCUCAAAAUUUCAUGUAAAUAAACAACACAUAGAUCAUGUACAAGUUUCAAGGUUUAUACAAAAUAUAGAUGCAUAUAUGCAAAUGUGAUCUUCCUUAAGGCUCUCAAAAUCUCCAUCUCCAAUGGCCAACUUCAUGCAUCCUCUCGAACAUUCCCUACGAUAGAAACAACUAUCGCUAAGCAUAUAGCUUAGUGGUGCAAAAACUAUAGGUUCGGAGCCCUCAGAUUCACCAAGUGACCUUUCUCAAGUCAUGGGCAGCAUAAUUGAACAUAAUAAAUAAAUCAAGUAAACAAUAUAUAAAGAGUAUCAAGUUCGAUAUUUAAAGAUCCAAAUGUCAAGAACGUUCAUAGCACAGUUUUCCAAGAGAUUCAACAACAAGGCUCGCCCAAUAUAUACAUCAUGUCGUCACACCAAGCACAAGCAGGUAUCAAAAAGGGUCGACGCCCUGUAUCAAGAAGGGUCAAAACCUAAUAAUCAAGAGAACCAAUAACCAUAUUUAAAAUGGCUCUCUAGUUCGUACUUAAAAUGGACAACUUCCAUUCUUAAGACGGACUAAAAAUCCAGAGUCAAGUUGGCAAAUGAUCCGAAUCAAGAGGCAUGCCAAUAGUGACAAAGUCACAGCCACAAGAAGGACAAGGUCCCAACAAGAGUGCCAAGUGAUCAAACAAUCCGUACAAGUGGGCGAGUUACACAAGAGUUUUUAACGUCUUAAAGGAUACCGACACGACAAGGAAAAGUGACAAGAGGUAACCAAGGUACCAAGAUCAACUUUCACAUAUACCAGCAGUUAAAAGAGUGCAGGUACAAGUUUAUACACAAACCUCAGCGUUUAGCUUAGAAACAGUCCAAAACAACUUCAAGAGUUCAAACCGUAGACCAACCAACGUAUCAAGGUCCUCAACUUGUUCACGAGUAUAUGCAACCUUAAAAUAAAAUUAAAUAACUUAUUUAAUCCCUAGUAGCUCAAUAAUGUUAAUGUAAAACAGGAUUAUCAUCACAAGUAAGCUUAGCCUGUACAAAUACGACUAUGCUCCCAAAAUAGUAAUUCUGGCCAGCCUAGUACCUCAUGUCGCAACUUAGAUUUGAAAAGGAAAACGGCAAAACUGGACUGUAUAUCCUUCAUGAAAGAUGUAGGUACAUCUCUUAAGGUUGCAAACAAUCAAGAAUCACCGCAAAAUAUAUUUUGUACAAAAGGAUAUCAUCGAUACACUAACAGUUGUUCAUACAGGAUAUCUAAAUCCGAAAUCUGGACAAAACUUGUCCUAUGUUGCGUCCCAUAUUUCGAAUCCAUAACAGCUAAAUUAGAGUUUUACAUAAACAUAAGAGUUGUAGGUAUACGAAUGAGCUUUCCAAAACAUAUUUAUUCACUGAAAAGGGAGUUCUAUAGAACGAGAUAUUCCAAAAGUACUAAACACUACUUAGCUCAAAAGCAGAUUUCGACUACUCACCAAAGAGAAGGGUGUAUAUCGAAUUCCAGCCAAAAGGUCCAAGUUUUUCUCUUGUGAUUUUGAGAGUAAUAUUGUUAGAGAGAGUACACCAGGUUUCUUAGAGCUAAGGAACACGAAUUUCACUAGAGAGGAGGUGUAAACAUAUAGUCUCAAGAGUGAUGUUUAUCACAUGCACAACUGCCUCCAAAAAAAGGUUGGCUGCCCAAAAUGUAUACAUAUAUAUAUAGGUAUAACCCUCACCUCCCUUUCAAGUUAUACAUAAUUCUAAUUAGAAUAUUACGCAAAUACCCCAAUACAAUACCUUAAAUUACGAUCACAAUUUAUGUUAAGCAGGUUUUCAAUUAUCACAAAAUUUCAAGUUCCCAAAAUGAGAAUAAAACAUAUUGUAGUAAUUAAUAAAACAUAUAGUAGUGAUUAAGCAAUGGUGUAUCGACACGUGACUCUUGGUUAGCAUUUCGGGGUGUUACAACUCUCUCCCCCUUAAAGAAAUUUUUUCUCGAAAUUUACCUGACACUAGUCCCGGAACAAGUGCGGAUACUGGAUCCUCAUGUCUUCUUCUCUCUCCCAGGUAGCUUCUUUUCCAGAAUGGUUGCUCCAAAGUACCUUUACUAAGGGGAUUCUCUUGUUCCUAAGUUUCAUUACUUCUCGAGCUUGAAUUAGAAUAGGUUUUUCAUUAUACAUCAAGUCAGGAUUAACCUCAAUAGAUUCAACUGGAAGAACAUGAGAUGGAUCAAAACGAUAUCUUCUGAGCAUAGAAACAUGGAAGACAUUGUGGAUCUUGUCUAACUCCAGUGGCAAAGCUAAUUUAUAUGCAACUGGUCCAACCCUUUCAAGUAUCUCAUAAGGUCCAAUAAAUCAGGGACUAAGUUUUCCUUUUUGGCCAAAUCUCAUAAUCUUUUUCCAUGGAGACACCUUUAAGAAUACUUUANNNNNNNNNNNNNNNNNNNNNNNNNNNNNNNNNNNNNNNNNNNNNNNNNNNNNNNNNNNNNNNNNNNNNNNNNNNNNNNNNNNNNNNNNNNNNNNNNNNNNNNNNNNNNNNNNNNNNNNNNNNNNNNNNNNNNNNNNNNNNNNNNNNNNNNNNNNNNNNNNNNNNNNNNNNNNNNNNNNNNNNNNNNNNNNNNNNNNNNNNNNNNNNNNNNNNNNNNNNNCACUUACUUCCGUACAAGGCUUCGUAGGGAGGCAUUCCAAUACUCGAUUGGUAACUGUUAUUGUAAGACAAUUCUAUCACUACCCUCAAACUCUAUAAUGCAAGCUCGAAGCAUAUCCUCCAAAAUUUGAAUCACUCUUUUGGACUGGCCGUCUGUCUGAGGAUGGAACAAAGUGCUAAAUUUCAACUUAGUACCCAAAGCUUCCUGCAAGCUACCCCAAAAUCUAGAUGUAAACCUUGGGUCUCUGUCAAAUACAAUAGACACAGGGAUCCCAUGUAGUCUUACAAUCUCAUUAAUGUACAACUCGGCUAAACGCUCAAGUGAUCCAUUCUGAUUGCUAAGAAGUGAGCACUCUUGGUUAGCCUGUCCACAAUCACCCAUAUUGUAUCAUGAUUUCUCUGAGUGCGAAGAAGUCUAGAAACAAAGUCCAUAGUUAUUCUCUCCCAUUUCCAUUCUGGCAUCGACAAGGGCUGUAGUAAACUAACUAGGACUUGAUGUUCUGCCUUUACUUUUUGACAAACCAAACAUUUGGAAAUGAACUCCGCAAUGUCUCUCUUCAUACCAUUCCACCAAUAAUGUUCCUUGAUGGUCUGGUACAUCUUUGUACCCCAGGAUGCAUUGCAUAUGGUGAAGUAUGUGCUUCAUUUAAUAUUUCUCUCCUCAAUUUGUCAUCACAAGGGAACGCAAUAACCCUGUUUUGAUAAAAUAAGCCACCAUCCUCCGUUACUGUAAAAUCAAGAUUUUCCCUAUUUUUGAACUUCUUUGGUCAGUUUUACAAGUUUCUCAUCUAACUUUUGUGCUUCUUUCACCUGUUCAAGUAAUAUUGGCUUUACUUGCAAAUUAGCAAAAACUGAACUAUUUGAAUCAAGUGUGAAACAAACAUUCAUGGCUCUUAACUCAAGGAGCAAGGGUAAAGGACUCAAAGAAAUGCUUGCAAAGGAUUUUCGACUUAAGGCAUCUGCAACCACAUUGGCUUUACCUGGAUGAUAAUCAAUCGUGCAGUCAUAAUCCUUGAUGAGUUAAAGCCAUCUAUGUUGUCUUAGGUUUAGCUCCUUCUGAGUACCCAAGUACUUUAAGCUCUUGUGAUUAGUAAAUAUAUGACAUUUCUCUCCAUACAAAUAAUGCCGCCAUAUUUUUAAAGCAAAGACUAUAGCAGCAAGUUCAAGAUCAUGAGUAGGAUAAUUCAAUUCAUGCGGUUUUAAUUUACGAGAGGCAUAAGAAUAACCUUCCCUUCUUGCAUCAAAACGAAUCCUAGACCAUUGUGAGAAGCAUCACUGUAUACUACAUACUCUCUCCCUUCAAUUGGUAGAGUAAGUAUAGGCGCUUGAGUCAACAAGGAUUUGAGAGUUUCAAAGCUCUAUUGGCAUUUGUCAUCCCAAAUAAACUUUACUUCCUUAUGCAAGAGCUUAGUCAAAGGGAAGGCGAUAAUGGAAAAGCCUUUCACAAAUCUUCUGUAGUAUCCUGCUAAGGCCAAGAAACUUCUUACCUCAGUUUGACUUUUGGGAGGUCUCCAUUCAACAACUGCUUGUCUUACUAGGAUCCACCUUCACGCCUUCGGUUGAUACAACAUGUCCCCGAAAAGCUACUUCAUCAAGCCAAAAUUCACACUUGGAAAUUUUAGCAUAAAGUUCUUUCUCCUUCAAAAAUUUUCAAAACAAUUUGAAGGUGUUUAUCAUGGUCUUCACUACUUCUGGAAAAUAUUAAAAUAUCAUCUAUAAAGACAACUACAAACUGAUCAAGAUAAGGCUUGAAUACUCAAUUUAUUAGAUCCAUGAAUACCGCAAUAGCAUUUGUCAAUCCGAAUGGCAUCACCAAAAAUUCAUAAUGACCAUAUCGAGUUCUAAAAGCAGUUUUAGGAAUAUCUUUCGCUCUAACACGCAGUUGGUGAUAUCCAGACCUUAAAUCAAUUUUUGANNNNNNNNNNNNNNNNNNNNNNNNNNNNNNNNNNNNNNNNNNNNNNNNNNNNNNNNNNNNNNNNNNNNNNNNNNNNNNNNNNNNNNNNNNNNNNNNNNNNNNNNNNNNNNNNNNNNNNNNNNNNNNNNNNNNNNNNNNNNNNNNNNNNNNNNNNNNNNNNNNNNNNNNNNNNNNNNNNNNNNNNNNNNNNNNNNNNNNNNNNNNNNNNNNNNNNNNNNNNNNNNNNNNNNNNNNNNNNNNNNNNNNNNNNNNNNNNNNNNNNNNNNNNNAUUCGAUUACACACAACUUGAUAACCCAAAGGACUUUCAACCAGCACAUCAUAAUUAAGACUCACAGAUUUCACAUUUUCAGGAAGAACAAGUGAUGAACAAAUAUAGGAAUGUGUAGAACCAGGAUCAAAUAAUGUAAACACACAUAAGCCAAAUAAAUAGAACCAGGAUCAUCUCUCUGCCUCAUAGCAUAAGCGCGUGCAGUAGCCCUUUGCCCACUAGCUUGAUUACCUCCACUUAUACCUGUUGCCUGGGUGUUUUUAGGUUUUGCACCUCUAUUAUUUUGAGGAGGAUUGACAGAAGGCUUAUGAACUGAGCCUUCAGUUCUCAAGGAAGGAGCAUUAUUAGGAUUAGGACAGUCCUUCACUUUAUGAUCAAAGCUCCCAUAAUUGAAACAUGCACCAGAAGCUCUCCUGCAAGUGCCAUAAUGAUUCUUUCCACAUUGUGGAAAAGUGGAAACACAAAGCUUGCCUUGGCCAUAAUUUGGAGUGCUAGCUGUAGAAAAUUCUGAUCUGUUUUGCCUUUGUUGAGGUGGCCUGUUAUCACUACCAGCCUUAGAAUCAUCAAACCUUCCCCUUUUGGAUGGACCUCCAAAGUUUGUUCUAGGCUUUCGGAAUUUGUUUUCAUCUCUACUAGCUUCUUCUUUAUCAAGUCGUUCCCAAGUAAAAGCAGCAGACACUAACUUACAAAAGUUCUCAUGUUGCAGGAUCGCCACAUUCUUCCUAAUGGAAUCAUUUAAACUGUCUUCAAAUUUCCUGCACUUAUCUUUUUCCUCUUUAAUAAUGCCUCCAGCAUAGCGAGAGAGCCUUAGAAACUUCUGUUCGUAUUCAGAAAUAGACAUGCCUCGUUGCCUUAUAUUCAAAAAACUCUUUUUUCUUUGCAUCACAAUAAGCAGGUGGGACAAACUUCAUUCGAAAUUCCUUAAGAAAAUCAUCCCAAGUAAGAACCGGAGGUUUUACCUUGGCAUUCGGAACACUUACCCACCAAUCAUAAGCAUCCUUUUGUAAUAGUGAAAUAGAAUACUUAAAUUUGGCAACAUCUGAACACUCCAACUACUCAAAUACCCUCUCCAUGAGCUCCAGCCAUUGUUCAGUAUCAGUGGGAUCAAUAGUGCCUUCAAACACCACUACACCCAUUUUCCUCAUUUUCUCAAAGUUAAUCCCGUUGGGAUCAUGCAUUGAUUCAGCCAUGUGGUGGAAGAAUUCAACUAGUUGUUGAAAAAGAGGAUUCAAGCCGGCUUGAGUACCACGACUCAUGUGAGGAUGUGGACCAGCUCUUACACCCUGAUGGUUUCCCACUUCAGACCCACUAGUGAGGGGAACAUAUUGGUUCGAGAGAUGUUCUCCAACACCUUCUAGUGCAUGAGGUUGGGAAACAGAGGCACCCAAACCUUCACGAGCAGCUUCCAUAGGUCGGUCAGAAGAAGAGGCCAUAACUUAAUUCCUUCAAAAGGGGAGAUCACAUUGCAUUAGGGACAUGUACUAGAUGCAUGUGCAAUCUACAUGUAAUAAAAAUGUGAUAAACCAUGUAAGUGAACAAGAACCCCAAAUAUAACCAUUCUGAAAGCGAACAAGUAUACAACUAAUUCACAGCAAAAGUCCUAGAACCACAAAAUCAGGCUCUUAUACCAACAUUUGUAGCAACCCUUUCGAAAGGAUAGUACCACUUAAACAAGAAAUCUAAUUAAAUACUUGUGACAUUUAAAAGAGGUUAACUAUGGCCAUAUUGAUUUUAAUCUAGUAGAGGGAUUAGGUUCAUAAUGAACAAUUUAGUUAAGGAUAUACAUCUUUCCCAUUUAAACAUUUAUUUGAUGUUAAAAUUGACAGGGUGCGGAAUUUAACUUAUGACAGAAAAACCCUCCCAGAAUAAUUUAAGCAAAUAACUGACGAGCUUUUCAUGCAUAUAUUAUCCUCACAUUUAAGGAUGAGAUAACAAGAAUAUUACCAACUUCCAAGUACUGAAAUCAGCCGGUUCAUGCUUCACACAAACAUUCAAAACUAAUAGUAAAUUUCGUAUAUUACAAGACUUGGGUUUACACAGCCGAAAAGAACAAAACAUAUAGACAUACUUAUAUUAUAGCCCAUGGUGACAUGAUCAAAUUAGUCCUCAAAAUUUCAUUUAAAUAAACAACACAUAGAACAUGUACAAGUCCCAAGGUUUAUACAAAAUAUAGAUGCCUAUAUGCAAAUGUGAUCUUCCUUAAGGCUCUCAAAAUCUCCAUCUCCAAUGGCCAACUUCAUGCAUCCCCCUCGAACAUUCCCUACAAUAGAAACAACUAUCGCUAAGCAUAUAGAUUAGUGGUGCAAAAACUAUAGGUUCGGAGCCCUCAGAUUCACCAAGUGACCUUUCUCAAGCCAUGGGCAACAUAAUUGAACAUAAUAAAUAAAUCAAGUAAACAAUAUAUAAAGAGUAUCAAGUUCGAUAUUUAAAGAUCCAAAUGUCAAGAACGCUCAUAGAACAGUUUUCCAAGAGAUUCAACAACAAUGCUCGCCCAAUAUAUACAUCAUGUCGUCACACCAAGCACAAGCAGGUAUCAAGAAGGGCCGACUCCCUGUAUCAUGAAGGAUCAAAACCCAAUAAUCAAGAGAACCAAGAACCAUAUUUAAAAUGGCUUUCUAGUUCGUACUUAAAAUGGACAACUUUCAUUCUUAAGACGGACUAAAAAUCCAGAGUCAAGUUGGCAAAUGAUCCGAAUCAAGAGGCAUGCCAAUAGUGACAAAGUCACAGCCACAAGAAGGACAAGGUCCCAACAAGAGUGCCAAGUGAUCAAACAAUCCGUUCAAGUGGGCGAGUUACACAUGAGUCUUUAACGUCUUAAAGGAUACCGACACGACAAGGAAAGUGACAAGAGGUAACCACGGUACCAAGAUCAACUUUCACAUAUACCAGCAGUUAAAAGAGUGCAAGUACAAAUUUAUACACAAACCUCAGUGCUUAGCUUAGAAACAGUCCAAAAACAACUUCAAGAGUUCAAACCGUAGACCAACCAACGUAUCAAGGUACUCAACUUGUUCACGAGUAUAUACAACCUUGAAAUAAAAUUAAAUAACUUCUUUAAUCCCUAGUAGCUCAAUAAUGUAAUUGUAAAACAUGAUUAUCAUCACAAGUAAGCUUAGCCUGUACAAAUACGACUAUGCUCCCAAAACAGUAAUUUUGGCCAGCCUAGUACCUCAUUUCGCAACUUAGAUUUGAAAAGGAAAACGGCAAAACUGGACUGUAUAUCCUUCAUGAAAGGUGUAGGUACAUCUAUUAAGGUUUCAAACAAUCAAGAAUCACCACAAAAUAUAUUCUUUACAAAAGGAUAUCAUCGAUACACUAACAGUUGUUCAUACAGGAUAUCUAAAUCCGAAAUCUGGACAAAACUUGUCCUAUGUUGCGUCCCAUAUUUUGAAUCCAUAACAGCUAAAUUAGAGUUUUACAUAAACAUAAGAGUUGUAGGUAUACGAAUUAGCUUUCCAAAACAUAUUUAUUCACUGAAUCGAGAGUUCUAGAGAACGAGACAUUCCAAAAGUACUAAACACUACUUAGCUCAAAAACAGAUUUCGACUACUCACCAAAGAGAAGGGUGUAUAUCGAAUUCCAGCCAAAAGGUCCAAGUUUUUCUCUUGUGAUUUUGAGAGUAAUAUGGUUAGAGAGAGUACACCAGGUUUCUUAGAGCUAAGGAACACGGAUUUCACUAGAGAGGAGGUGUAAACAUAUAGUCUCAAGAGUGAUGUUUAUCACAUGCACAACUGCCUCCAAAAGGUGGCUGCCCAAAAAAAGGUUGGUUGCCUAAAAUGUAUACAUAUAUACCUAUAUGUAUAACCCUCACCUCCCUUUGAAGUUAUACAUAAUUCUAAUUAGAAUAUUAUGCAAAUACGCCAAUACAAUACCUUAAAUUAUGAUCACAAAUUAUAUUAAGCAAGUUUGCAAAUAUCACAACAUUUCAAGUUCCCAAAAUGAGAGUAAAACAUACAAUAGUGAUUAAGCAAUGGUGUAUCGACACAUGACUCUUGGUUAGGAUUUCGGGGUGUUACAAAUCCCUUCCGCCAAUCAGAUUUAAGUGACAUGACAUAUAGACUUUAUGGAGCGGGCUUUAAUUAAAUUCAUAUUUAUUGGAUUUAAAUAAUUAACUCAAUUAUAUUAAUCCAUAAUAUAUUCAUGAAUUUAAUAUAAUCCGAAUCAUUUUAUAAACUUAUAAUUAAUAUAUUUUAAAUGAUUACAACGUGAUUCUACCUUUAUUUUAUUCAUUUUCUAAGAAUACUUAUUAAAUUUUCAUGCUUUGAUUCAUAAAGGUUGAGAUUUAAAAUUCCAAAGACAAGAGAUUGAAAAUAGUUGGUUUCAAGGUCAAUUCGUGAUUAAAUUUCGUUGAUUUUUGAAACUAAAUGUUCUUAUGUUAUGGCUAAAUCGAUUUUGACAUCAAAAUUUUGAAUUAUAAAUUAUUUUAUUAUCGUCUACAACAACGCAAGAGCAUGAAAAUCGAAGAUUUUGGGUCUAAGUUAAAAAUUAUACUCCCUCCGUUUCAAAAAGAAUGAUCUCAUUUUCUUUUUAGUCUGUUUAAAAAAGAAUGACCCCUUUCCUUUUUUUGGCAAACACUUUAACUUCAACUUUCCACAUGACAUGUUUAAGGCCACAAGAUUAAAGAACAUUUUGGUACAUUUGACAUAACUUUAAUUUAGAACCACAAGAUUUAAAAGUCUUCUUUCUUUUCUUAAACUCUGUUCCAGUCAAACUAGGACAUUCUUUUUGAAACGGAGGAAAUAUUAUAUUUUGAUGAUGUGAAGGUCUAUUUGAACUCCAUUUUCUAUGAAAUCUCAGAUUUAGAUUUCUUAGCUUAUGGUAAGAUGAUUCUUAAAGAGAUUAUUAUUUUUCCCUUAAGGUUUUGGGAAUGACUUUUGAUUUUGUUGGGUAUAUAACAAGAGUUAAUGGAAAAUGGAGGGAAGAUGAAAAGAGGGGAACUUGAAAAGUCCUCUUAUGCUUUAGUAAAAAGACAUUUCUCCCUCAUCGGUGGUGGAAAGAAAAAUAGAAGAGUUUAAAUAGAGAAAUACUUCUAUUAAUUGUUAAAAGGGUUGGAAAGAGGGACCCCCCCCCCCACGCACCGUCGUCGCUCGCUCGCUCGGCUUUGGCUUUGGAAAUCGAUCGAGAGAUUAUUUUUGGACAAAGUUUUGUUUUAAUUAAUUAUUUAAUUAUUUAAUUGAUUAAUUAAAUAAAAUUAAAUGGCCAAAACGUUUCAAUUAAUCCAUUUUAUUUAAAUUACUUUCCCGUUUUAUUUGAAUUUCCCGCCAUUGGAGAUGACUGUUCUGAAAGGUUGCAACUUUCAGGAACAGCCAUGACCGUUUGAAGGUUGCAACCUUUCGGAACCAGCUAUUCUUCAAACUCUUUACUUACGAAAAUUUCUAAUUUCUUCUUCUUCUUCUGCACAAAUAUUUUUUGUGUACUUUACUGCCGUUGAGUGGCUCGCUGACACCAGCGUUUUGGGUAUCAAUAUACUGGUGAUUGAGAUCAUUUUAUCUUGGGAGGACAUAUUCCAACUGAAACCUCGGAUACUAGAGGAGAAUAAUUUCCUUAAGGGAACAUUGUGCAUUCAGUGGACUUGUCAUUCUCCGUUCUGUCUUUUCCAAAUUUUGGUAUGUUUUACAGAUUUUAGUUUUUGGUGAAUUAAUUUAUCUGUUUUUUCACUGGUUCAUUAAACUUUGGUAACUUCGUUUUCUGCAAAGUUUGUUUAACCAGUGGUACUAUUUUAGACACAGAUUGGGCAACAAAUUUGACUUUUUGAAUAUGAAAUAGAAGUAUGGCAAUAUCAAUAUCAAUAAACUCGUAUUCACUCUUAGAUUAUGUUUCUAAUAGAUUAAGAGUAGUUUGAGGUUGUUUGGAAAGGAAAGGCAUUAGUGAUGAUUUGUGGUGCCUUUGAUCGACAUUCGAGUUAGGUUAUUAAUUAUCCUUAGAUUGAAAUUAAAUAGUAUCUUAUUGUAUAAAACAUGUCAUGGGUUGAGCGAAAUGACUGAUUUGGAGUAUUGGAUAAACUGUAUUAAUAUUGUGAUGAUUCAAAAUUUGAAAAUUUAGCCAAAAUGGUGUAUGAUUUGCUAUUUGCAUUAUUAUUGUGACACUCGGGGAUUGAAACUUGUUGAUAAAUAGCUUAUAACAAAAAGAAGAAGUUGAAUAUUGAUUGUUGACUGAUUUAUGACAUUUAUGUGUGUUGGGAACAUGAUAAAUGAUUUGAUAGUGGUUGCCUGAUGACAUGACCAACGUAGUGGGCUUGAAUAUGCAUUUUUACAUUCGUUCAUGGUAUAUUUUCUCUUCUAUCUAAGGUAUUCUAUCAUAUUUCACAUCAAUUCAUAUGCAUACUAUUUGUUGAAUCAUAUGGUUCUUCUGAAAUGGUUUAAGGGCAGAAUGCAGAGGAUUGAGAUACAAUUAUGAGAUAUCUUCCUUUCUUUGGUAUACUCUUCAAUCUCCUAUGGACAAGAUUCAAAUUGAGCAAUGAUAUGCUAUUCUCUGGGCCAAACACAUAAACAAAUCCCUAAACUUGUUGGGGGUUUUCCCCUAAGGUAUCUUAACUACGCCAUUUUCCUAUUGAAUCCUUGAACCACCCAUAAUUUGUUUCUUUUAAACACUGUAGGCUAUCUGGCACAAAACUUUCGCAAAUAUUUUUUGUUGAUUGUGCGCGUGAGAUCCACCUUUCUCACGUGGAAAUUGCAACCAAUCAAACUUCAAUCCAUUUACAUGUCAGCACCACAUAAUCAUUUCUCAAACCUAAAAAUCUAAAGCCCCUUCCCCCCCCCCCCCCAAAAAAAACACUCCUGACUUGAAGAAGAAGAAAUCGAUGAACAAGAUAACUUCGACAGGAGAACUGGAUGAUUAAGAAGAAAUCAAUGAAGAAGAGAUGUAUUCUGACGAGCAACUCCAACUUAAUGAUGAAGAGAAAGAAAAGAGGAGAAAUAAGAGAAAAAGUGUAACAACCCUCUCGGAAGGAUGCUACUACUUAACAAGAAAGAUAAUAUAAUACUAGCACAUUUAAAAGGGAUUAAUCUAAGAUAUAUAAAUUAUAAUUCAAUAGAUAAAUUUAGCCCAAAAUAACAAGUGAAAGGUAUAAAGGCUUGUCAUUUAGAAAUUUAGUUGAUCUCUAAUGCUUAUCGUGACCAACGACACUAUCCUACGGUAUGAGUGUCUACGAUCGUCGAUAAUAUAGUAACCCAACCAAGGGUUGGAGUCGUGUCCCAAGGGAGCGAUUUUGAGAACUGAUAGAAAAAUAAAAUUUACAUUCUAACUAGUCGUAGCUAAAGAUAUUAACGAACAAAAACAUAGUAAAUAAAAGGGGGUGACACGAAAGUGUCAAAUAUCAAAUGGGGUUUUUGUAACAAGUGAUAAAGCAGCAAAAUAAACACGAAAAUCAAGUAUGGGGAAAGGUUCAUGGGAUGUGACCGCAAUACAAGUUGAGAUAAAUUGUUGGGUGCAUGCUUUCAAUAGGAAAUUUGCAAGACAAUAGUGACUAGGCUAAGCUUUAAAUGGAAAUAAGUUCCAAGCCGAAAACACAUGGGUAGCUUUGUUUUUGCAACUACAAACCCUUUAGAUUAAACCACAACCACUAGGUGAAAUCACUAUUAAAAUACAUCUAGCCUAUCAGCAAGCAAGACCCAACAAGAAUAUCAAACCAUAUGUGCUAAAUCACACCCCAAGAAUGGAGUUUUUUAGCCACACAUCAAGAAAUAAGAAAUUAUACCUAACAUGAUAAUGAAAUCAACUGGGUAUAAGAAAUUAAACCUUAAAUUAAGCAAAGGAAAAUGAAUAGAGAAGACCCACUUCCAAACUUGGGGAAGAAGAACUCCUUUCUUCAAGUCUCCACAAAACCCUCUCCAAACUUGAGAGAAAAUAUCAGCUAAAGUAUGUUCUAAAGUGAAAAUAAUAAUAAUAAUUGUUCCACUCCAAAAAUCUCUUAAGAUUACAAUUCUAACUAGUAUUUAUAGUUUUCACAGAUUGUGCUGCGGAGGAUUAUUCGGCGACAUUAGUCUAGAUCGCCAAUGAACUCGGCGAUCCACCCUUUUGGUCAGCUCAUCGCCUUCAAUGUCUUGCCUUUNNNNNNNNNNNNNNNNNNNNNNNNNNNNNNNNNNNNNNNNNNNNNNNNNNNNNNNNNNNNNNNNNNNNCAUUGGGCGGUACAGUACUGCUUCGCGGAACUGAUCGGCGACUCUCCGACUGCUCCUUUCCUCGCCUUUUGAUCCACUACCUUCAAGGUUUCACGUACUGGAACGAAGGGUGGUUCAUGUUGUUUCGGCGACUCGCCAAGUUAAACUCGGCGAUCCACAGGAUUCCAUUUCUUGUUCUUUUCAACCCUAUUUGCUCCAUUUUUGUGCCUAAGUGUCCAUGCUUCCACUAAAACUUCAAAUACCUGAAAUUUCAGCAUUUUUAAUCAUGUAUUGAGAUAAAAUAAGCAUUCAAGGACACUAUUUUCAUUAAAAUAAAGCCCUAAAUGAGUCCAAUUUGUGGACUCAUCAAUCUCAAAGUUAAACAAGACAAGAAUCCCUAUUUAUGGCGGAAGAAUCUUUCAAAAUAAUUUUAAAAAUAUGCUAAGAGAUUUUCAUGUAUUAUCUAUACUACUACAAGACACCUUAUCAAUCAUUACCAACUUAAGGGUACCGAAGCUUCAUUGGUUCAUGCUUAAUACAAACUUUCAAAAUAAACUGUAAAUUUAAUACAUUACAAGACUUGGGUUUACACACCCCAAAAUAGUAAAACAUGUAGUCAUACUUAUUUUACAACCCAUGGUGACAUGAUCAAAUUAGCCUUCAAAAUUCCAUGAAAAUGAACAAUAUAUAGAUCAUGUACAAGUCCGAAGAUUUAUGCAAACUAUAGAUGCCUAUAUGCAAAUGUGAUCUUCCCAUAAUGCUCUCAAAAACUCUGUCUCCAAUGGCCAGCUUCAAGUAUCCCUUCAAAUGUUCCCUACGAUAGAAACAAAUAUCGCUAAGCAUAACGCUUAUUGGUGUAAAAACCAUAUGUGUGGAGUUGCUAGAUUCACCAAGUUACCUUUCAAAACUCAAGGGCAGCACAAUUGAAACAUAAUAAAUCAAUCAAGUGAACAAUAAAUUAAGGGUAUCAAGUUCUAUAUUUAAAAAUUCAAGUGUCAAGAACGCUCAUAGCACCAUUUCCCAAGAGAUCUAAUACCAAGGCUCGCCCAAUAUAGACAUCAUACUGUCACACCCAGCAUAAUCAAGUAUCAAGAAGGACCGAAGCCCUGAAUCAAGAAGGGUCAAAGCCCAAUAAUCAAGACGAUCAAGAACCAUAUUAAAAAUGGCUUCCUAGUUCAUACUUAAAAUGGACAACUUUCCAUACAUAAGACGAACCAAAAAUCCAGAGUCAUGAUGAAAAAUAAUUCGAAUCAAUAAGCAAGCCAAUAGUGACAAAAUCAAAUCCACAAGAAGGACAAAAGUCCCAACAAGAAUGCCAGGUGAUCAAGCAAUCCGUACAAGUAGGCAAGUUACACAAAUGUCUUGAAAGUCUCAGGGAAUACCAAUACAGCAAUACAACGUGACAAGAAGUAACCAAGGUAUCAAGAUAAAACUUAAAAUAUACAAACAGAUAACAAGAGUACGAGUACAAGUACAAGUUUAUACACAAAUCUCGGGCUUUAGCAUAGAAACAGUCCAACAAAACUCCAAGAGUUCAAACCAUAGGUCGACCAACGUAUCAAGGUCCUCAACUUGUACACGAGUAUAUAUAACCUUAAAAAUACAAUUAAAUAACUUAUUUAACUUAUAUUAGCUCAAUAGUGUUAAUGUAAAAUAGGAUCAUAAUCACAAGUAAGCCUAGCAUGUACAAAUACAACUAUGCUCCCAAAACAGUGAAUCUGUCCAGCCUGGUACCUCAAGUCGCAACAUUGUUUCGAAAAGGAAAAUGGCAAAACUGGACUGCAUAUCCUUCAUGAAAGAUGUAGGUACAUCUCUUAAGGUAGAAAAUAAUCAAGAAUCACCGCAAAAUAUAUUUUGUACAAAAAGAUAUAAUCAAAACACUAACAGUUGAUCAUACAGGAUUUCGAAUUCCAAAAUCUGGACAGAACUUGUCCUAUGUUGCGUCCCAUAUUUCGAAUCCAUAACAGCUAAAUUAGAGUUUUACAUAAACGUAAGUGUUAUAGGUAUAAGAAUUAGCUUUCCAAAUCAUAUUUAUUCACUGCAAACGAAGUUCUAUUGAACGAGAUAUACUUAAAAUACUAAACCCUACCCAGCUCAGAAACAAAUUUCACCACUUACCCAAGAGAAGGGUGUGUCUCGAAUUCCAGCCAAAAGGACCAUGUUUUUCUCUUGUGAUUUUUUGAGUAAUAUGGAUAGAGAAAGUUCUGCAGGUUUCUUAGAGUUAAGGAACACAAAAUGUUAUAGAGGAGGUGUGAGAAUAUAUGUUAUAAAAGUGAUGUUUAUCACUUAUAGAUAUAGCUGAAAGCAAAAGUUGGCUGCCCAAAAAGUAAAAAGGUUGGCUGCCCAAAAUGUAUACAUAUAUACCUAUAUGUAUAUACCUCACCUCCCUUUCAAGUUAUAAGUAAUCCUAAUUAGAAUAUUACGUAAAUAUCUCAAUAUAAUCCCUGAAAUUACGAUCACAAUUUAUGUUAAGCAAGUCUGCAAAUAUCACAAAAUUUCAAGUUCCCAAAAUGAGAAUAAAACAUAUUGUAGUAAUUAAGCAAUGAUGUAUCGACAUGCGACUCUUGGUUAGUAUUUCAGGGUGUUACAACUCUCUCCCCCUUAAAGAAAUUUUGUCUCGAAAUUUACCUUACACUAGUCCCCAAACAAGUGUGGAUACUGGGUCCUCAGGUCUUCUUCUCGCUCCCAGGUAGCUUCUUUUCAAGAAUGGUUCCUCCAAAUUAUUUUUACUAAGGGGAUUCUCUUGUUUCUAAGUUGCUUUACUUCACAAGAUUGAAUUAGGAUAGGUUCUUCAUUAUACAUCAAGUGAGGAUUAACCUCAAUAGAUUCAAUUGAAAGAACAUGAGAUGGAUCAGAAUGAUACCUUCUGAGCAUAGAAAUAUGAAAGACAUUGUGGAUCUUGUCUAACUCAGGUGGCAAAGCUAAUUUAUAUGCAACUGGUCAAACCUUUUCAAGUAUCUCAUAGGGUUCAAUAAAUCGGGGACUAAGUUUUCCUCUUUGGCCAAAUCUCAUAAUCUUUUUCCAUAGAGACACCUUUAAGAAUACUUUAUCUCCAAUUUCGUGCUCAUUAUCACACCUUCUAAGGUCAGCAUACGACUUUUGUCUAUCUGAAGAAAUCUUUAGACGAUCCUUGAUCAUUUUUAGCUUGUCUUUCAUUUUUGCACAAUUUCAGGACCAAUAAACUUUCUUUCACCAACUUCACUCCAACAAAGAGGGAUCCGACAUUUUCUUCUGUAUAAGACUUCAUAGGGAGGCAUUCCAAUAAUCGAUUGGUUGCUAUUAUUAUAAGAAAAUUCUAUCAAAGCCAAGUGUUUGUCCCAACUACCCUAAAACUCCAUAAUUCAAGCUCGAAGCAUAUCCUCCAAAAUUUGUAUCACUCUUUCCGGCGGACCAUCUGUUUGAGGAUGGAAUGAAGUGCUAAAUUUUCAACUUACUACCUAUGGCUUCCUACAAGCUACCCCAAAAUCUAGAUGUAAACCUUGGGUCUCGGUCAGAUACAAUAGACAUAGGGAUCCCGUGUAGUCUUACAAUCUCAUUAAGGUACAAUUAAGCUAAACGCUCAAGUGAGUAAUCCAUCUUGAUUGCUAAAAGUGAGCACUCUUUGUUCGCCUAUCUACUAUCACCCAUAUUGCAUCUUGAUUUCUUAGAGUGCGAGGAAGUCCAGAAACAAAGUCUAUAGUUAUUCUCUCUUAUUACCAUUCUGACAUCGAAAAAGGUUGUAGCAAACCAAUUGGGACCUGGUGUUCUGUCUUUACUUGCAGACAAACCAAACAUUUUAAAAUGACUUCCGCAAUGUCUCUCUUCAUACUGUCCCACCAAUAAUGUUCUUAGAUGGUCUAGUGCAUCUUUGUACCUCUAGGAUGCAUUGCAUAUGACGAUGUAUGUGCUUCAUUCAUGAUUUCUCUUCUCAAAUUUUCAUCAUUAGGGACACAUAACCUAUUUUGAUAAGGUACCAUCCUCCAUUAAUACAAAAUCAAGUUUUUCCCCAUUUUGAACUUCUCUAGUCAAUUUAUGAGUCUCUCAUCUAACCCUUGCGCUUCUUUCACCUGUUCAAGUAAUAUUGGUUUGACUUUCAAAUUAGCAAUAACUGAACCAUUUGAAUCAAGUGCAAAACAAACAUUCACGGCUCUUAACUCAAGAAGUAAGGGCAACAGACUCAAAGCUAAGCUUGCAAAGGAUUUUUCGACUUAAGGCAUCAGCCACCAUAUUGGCUUUACCUGGAUAAUAGUUAAUCGUGCAAUCAUAAUCCUUGAUGAGUUCAGUCAUAUACUUUUUCUUAGGUUCAGCUCCUUCUGUGUACCAUGUACUUUAAGCUCUUGUGAUCUGUGAAUAUAUGACAUUUUUAUCCAUACAAAUAAUGCCGCCAUAUUCUUAAAGCAAACACUAUAGCAGCAAGUUCAAGAUCAUGAGUAGGAUAAUUCAAUUCAUGUGGUUUUAAUUUUCGAGAAGCAUAAGAAACAACUUUCCCUUCUUGCAUCAAAACACAUAACAGACCUCGAUGAGAAGCAUUACUAUAUGACACAUACUAUUUCCCCUCAAUUGGUAGAGUAAGUAUAGGAGCUUGUGUCAACAAGGAUAUGAGAGUUUCAAAGCUCUCUUGGCAUUUGUCAUCCCAAGUAAACUUUAUUUCCUUCUUCAAGAGUUUAGUCAAAGGGGAGGCAAUAAUGGAGAAGCUUUUCACAAAUCUUCUAUAGUACCCUGCUAAGCCUAAGAAACUUCUUACCUUACUCGGAAUUUUGGGAGGUCUCCGUUCAACAACUGCUUGAAUUUUUACUAGGAUUAACCUUUACACCUUCUUUUGAUACAACAUGUCCCAAAAAAGCCACUUCAUUAAGCCAAAAUUCAUACUUGGAAAAUUUAGCGUAAAAUUCUUUCUCCUUCAAAAUUUACAACACAAUCCUAAGGUGUUUAUCAUGGUUUAUUAGAAGAAGAGGCCAUAACUUAUUUCCUUCAAAAGGGAAGAUCACAUUGCAUUAGGGACAUGUACAUUAUGCACGUGCACUCUACAUGCAAUAGAAAUAUUAUAAACCAUGUAAAUGAAUAAAUAAUAUAACAAGAACCUUCUAAAAAGCGAAACGAGUAUACAAGCAAUUCACAACAAAAUUCCUAGAACCACAAACCUAGGCUCUGAUACCAAUACUUGUAACAAUUCUCUCGGAAGGAUGCUACUACUUAACAAGAAAGCUAAUAUAAUACUUGCACAUUUAAAAGGGAUUAAUCUAAGAUAUAUAAAUUAUAAUUCAAUAGAGAAAUUUAGCCUAAAAUAACAAGUGAAAGGUAUAAAGGCUUGUCAUUUAGAAAUUUAGUUGAUCUCAAGUUUAAACAAGACAAGAGUCCCAAUUUAUGGCAGAAAAAUCUUUCAAAAUAAUUUUUUUUUUGGCAAGUAAAUAAAUAUAUUUUAUUACCAAAUGAACAGACAAAACAGUAACUCAUGCAUACUGGACAUCUCCCAACUAUGCAUUAACAACUCUCUAUUCUAUCAAACACUUGUUACACUAUUUCCACUCUAGCUAAAACUUGCAUCUACCCAGGAUAAAAAUUCAAAGUUUCUAGGACAUAGUUUAAACGUAUUCUUGAUCUCCCUCUCAUAAGCACCUCUUGAACAGCCUGUUUUGCCAGUAUUGCCGGAGUUCUUGUAACUUUCUAGAAAAUUCUUUGAUUCCUCUCUUGCCAGAUGAGGUACACACUUGCAGCCAAUGUCAUCCUAUAUAUGUCGACAUUUGCUUGCUUACCUUUACAAUAUGUAUUUGCCCACCUUGUCUCCUCUUCCCAUUAUUUAGCUUCUCUCCUUAUAUUUUUCUAGCAUAGUAACUUCUGCUAGAUAUGUGCUGAGAAUACACAGUGAAAGAACAAAUAAUUAUGGGUCUCAUCUUUAGCUCGACAUAUUACACAAUGGAGAUCUUCCACAUAGCCCCAUUUUGCUAAUCGAUCCCUUGUGAGUAACCUGUUAUGUAGAGCUAAUUAUAAGAUGAAAAUCCACUUAGGACAGGCUGAAUUAUUACAGGUAAUCCUCCUCCACUCCACCUUCUGGUAUUCUCCUCUAAUGGCUUUAUAUAACUGCUUUACAGAGAAUUUUUCAGUACUCUUAACAUACUCCUCAUUCCAGCCAAUAAUCUCCAAUUCUUUGUGCAUCUGGAGUAUCUUCUUAAUCAUACAUGAAGCCUGAGGGGCUAAAACACCCCACAGAGUCCCUUGUUUCCCAUAAUACAUGUGAAUCCACUUCACCCAUAGUCUAUCUUUCUUAGUACUCAAAUUCCAUAAUAGUUUACUUAUGGCAGCCUUGUUCCAUGCUUGGGUAUCCAACAAAUUGAGACCCUCUGCAGUUUUAGGACUGCAUAGUUGUUCCCAAGCAGUUAGUGCUUUCUUGGAUGCAUCUAUUCCCCCGAUCCACAAAAAAGUCCUGCAUAAUGUUUCAAUACAUUUGAUAACUUUUUUUGGCAACACAAACACAUGUGACCAAAACACCUGAUGGAGAACAAGACACUCUUAAUCAGCUGAGUCCUUCCUGCAUAAGAGAGAAAUCUGGAAGUCCAACUCUAUAUUCUUCUCAUUAUCUUAUAAUCAAAGGCUAAUAUUGUAGGAUAGACACCCUCUUAGUACUCAAUGGGACUCCUAAGUAUUUAAAAGGUAAAUAUCCUUGUGAGAAUCCUAAUUCAUGAAGUAUUUCACUUUGUACAUUUGUUGGCACACCCCCAAAAUAAAUGGAACUCUUAUCAGCAUUUGCAACUGUGAAACUGAAACGACGUUCAGGUUUUCUGUAUACUGCUUUGUAGGAGAAUUCUUAGAAUAAGCCAAACAUCAAUCUAACUGAUACCAUAUCUCCUCUACUGAAUAGUAAGAGAUCAUCAGCAAAACUGAUUUGCACUAUUUGCAUUCUUUCACACUUAGAAUGGAAAUUGAAGUUAGGAUCAUGCUUUAGUUUCUUGGUCAAUCUUGUCAAAUACUCUGUAGAUAACACAAACAAAAAAGGAGAUAGAGGAUCCCCCUGUCUUAAUCCUUUCUUUGUAAGAAAAGGGGUACUAGGCUGUCCAUUUAUGAGGAUGAAUAUGUUACUGUACUAAUACACUAGUAUAUCCACUUAACAAAUUUCUCAAGAAAUUGCAAACAAGUCAUUACCUGCUUAAGAUAGCUCCAUUCCACAUAAUCAUAAGCCUUUUUCAUAUCUACCUUAAGCAUACAUCUUGGGGAUACUCCUAUAUCCUUUUACUAACUCAUUGCUUAAGAUGAUGUUGUCAUUUAUCAGCCUGCCUGACACAAAAGCAGACUGAUUUUUAUCCACCAGUACCUCCAUCACAUAUUGCAUCCUGUUUGUUAGCACUUUGGAUAUGAUCUUGUAUAAUAAAGUACAGCAGGAGAUAGGCCUAAACUCUUAUACCUUGGAAGGAUGAGCUACUUUUGGUAUAAGAGUCACAGUGAUGCAAUUGAUGACUUUACACAAUUUACCCGUGGAGAAGAAAUGUAGGACAACAUCAGUAAUUUCCUCGCAUACCUGUCCCCAAGUCUACUUGAAGGAAUAUGCACUAAAACCAUCACGUCCAGGAGCUUUGUUGUCAUUUAUACCCUGCAAUGCCAUAACCACUUCCUUUUUGCUCACAGGUGCAAUAAGGUGACUUUGUUGGCUUCUAUUCAAAAUUGGACCAUCUUUCAUUACCCUUAUGUUUACAGCAGGUAAUUGAGUGGCACAAGAUCCCAAUAAUUACAUGUAAAAACCUGUAAUUUCUUCCUCAAUCUCAGCUCUACUAGUAAUAGUCCUUCUUGUAUUUGUGAUUAAGCUUGUGAACCUAUUCUGAGCUUCUCUAUUCUUCAAGCUAGCAUGAAAGUAUGUUGUGUUUCCAUCUCCCAGUUGUAACCAUUGUACCCUUGAUUUCUGCUUCAUGAUGCUUUCUUCAAUAUUCAUCCAUUUUUUCAUAUUCAGUUUAACCUCCUUCUCUAGCUCAAUCUUGUGCUUGUCCUGGUUUCCUCAUAGUACUCUGUACAUCCUUCAAAUGUUGCCUAUACAUUCUUAUUCUACUUUGUACCCCCAUAGAAUGCAACACUAUUUAGUUCUUUCAAACCUUUUUUCACAUUUUGUAACUUCUGCCAUAUUCUAUACAUUGUCCCAUUACUUGGUCUUUGUUUCCAUGCUCUCUGUACAAUCUCCUGAAAAUUCUCAUGUUUUGCCAGAUGGUUUAGGAACUUAAAAGGUUUAUGCCUAAUAUCCUCUUCUUGCAUCAGUGUAAUACAAAGUGGGGAAUGAUCAGAACAUCCUGGAUCUAAUACCUUCACAUCUGUGAAUUGCAUAUCAAGCAUCCAUUUAGCAUUCACCAAAGCCCAAUCAAUUCUAUUAUAUGUGUUCCCAUUUGUCCAAGUAAACUCCCUUCCAUUAUGUCUUAGUAUUGUCGUGCCUGUGUCAACAAGAAAAUCUUUAAAGUCUUUAGUUUCCCCUUCAUGAAUUGUAGCUCCAAUCAUCCUAUCUUCAGCUCUGUGAAUAACAUUAUAGUCCCCCAUAGAUAUCCAAGGUUCCUGUUUACCUGAAUUAAUGUUUCUCAGCUUUCCCAUAAACUCCUUCUAGGUUCAAUGGUAUGUAAACCAUAUAUAGCAGUAAAACAAAACUUACUGUUUAAAGCACUGAUCUUCACUUCUGAGUGAAUAAACUGUUCAUCAAUUAUUAAUGGGUCACACUCAAUAACUUGAGGGUCUCAUAAUAUCCAUACUCUCCCCUUAUUACUGCAAAUAUUGUUAUCUAUGCUUCUCCACCCUGGUGCAAUUGUUUUCAUAACCUUAACUAUUUGAUGGUCCUUAAUCUUAUGUUCAAGAAGAGCUAUGAUACUAACAUUAUUCGUUCUAAUAAACAGUUUGGUCUCCUUCUGCUUAUGAACUUUAUUCAGUCCCCUAACAUUCCAUGCUACUAACUGUAUUGUUGAGGGUUAAGGGUAUUACUUUCUGUCUCUCCACUGCUACCACCUUUAUCUCUACCUCCUCCUUCCAUAAACCUUGUAUCAUGGUUAUGAAAUACACUGAAAUCAUUUGAAAUUAUUAAUUGGUUGUCUUCCUGUUGUAUCCCACUUUUAGCUGCUGAUUUUCCCCUUACUGCACUCCAUUGAUUCAUUUGAUUUUGCUCCUUAGCAACUAUCUCUUUUCCAGGCCUUUGGUUGCGUUGUAGCUCACUGCAACCCCCACCAUUCUCAAUUUGCUCCUCAUCUGCUCCUUACUUCACAUUUACACGUUGUUUCCACUCCAUUUUUUGUUUAUUUUGCGUUGGCUUAGCCUUAAUCUCUGCAUCAUCUCUUUUACAUAUAUGUCCUAUGGUCAGACAAGUAGGACAAUAGCUUGGUACCCAUUCAUACUUAACCACCUGCUUGAAACUUCUACCAUUAGGAUCCUCUACCUUUAUCUCCGUAGGUAAGGUUCGAGUAAUAUCCAUCUCAAUAAGUAGUCUAGCAUAGGAGAUUUUAUCCACCUGUGUGGUGCAUUCAUCAACAUAAAUUGGAAUACCCAAUCCACUCCCAAUUAUGCUUAGUGAUUGCACACCCCAAUAUUUCAAUGGUAAGUUUGGGAACUUAACCUAUAUAGGAAUAGUCUGCAUUACCUCCUUAGUAAAAUCAAAAUCAGGUGUCCAUUUUUUCACAAUGAUGGGUUUUUUAUUCAGCAUAUGAGGCCCUGCAUAAAAGACCUCAUCUCUAUCUUCUAGCGUAGUGAACUUUACAAGGAAGUACCCAUCAUUAUGAUAGUAAACUUUAGGUUUCACAAUGUAGUUCCAGUUAGCUGCUAUGUACCUUUCAAGUGCCGCAAUGGUAGGUUCAUCCCCCACCACAUAGAGGAUCAAUGUUUGUUCCCACUUUUGCGUUUCUAGCUCCACCUCAGCUUUACACAAUUCCGCCACUGUUUCCCCAUUUCGCACUAUUGGUGCCACAUAUUGGAGUGUCAUUCCUUGUGCAGCGAGCCUAUUACCUUUGGAAAGGCUUGCCCACUUCCUCUCUGAUACCUCUUCACCCCCCCCCCUUCUCCAUCUCUUGACCCACUCAAACUGUAAUUUUCCUCAAUUUUGAAACCUUCUCCUUGGACUGGCUUAUCGCACUCCCUAGGCAUGUCAAUUCCGGCAUAAUCAUAUUGAUUUUUAUCGGGGUUUUAGCAUUCUGAGUUGGGGUUUUGGCACCCUGUAAUGCAGGCCACUGUUCUAUCGAAACCACAGAACUGUCCCCUACCAUAUCCUGACCUUUUGCUAGUUGUAUCAUAGUUGCUUUAUCUCCAAUGGCCAGCUUCAAGUAUCCCCUCGAACGUUCCCUACGAUAGAAACAACUAUCGUUAAGCAUAAAGUUUAGUGGUGUAAAAACUAUAUGCGUAGAGCUGCUAGAUUCACCAAGUUACCUUUCAAAAGUCAAAGGCAGCACAAUUGAAACAUAAUAAAUCAAUCAAGUGAACAAUAUAUUAAGGGUAUCAAGUUCUAUAUUUAAAGAUCCAAGUGUCAAGAACGCACAUAUCACCAUUUCCCAAGAGAUCUAAUACCAAGGCUCACCCAAUAUAUACAUCAUACCGUCACACCCAGCAUAAUCAAGUAUCAAGAAGGACCGAAGCCCUGUAUCAAGAAGGGUCAAAGCCCAAUAAUCAAGAGGAUCAAGAACCAUAUUAAAAAUGGCUUCCUAGUUCAUACUUAAAAUGGACAACUUCCAUACUUAAGACGAAUCAAAAAUCCAGAGUCAAGAUGGCAAAUAAUCUGAAUCAAUAGGCAUGUCAAUAGUGACAAAAUCAAAUCUACAAGAAGGACAAAGUCCCAACAAGAAUGUCAGGUGAUCAAGAAAUCCGUACAAGUGGGCGAGUUACACAAAUGUGUUGAAAGUUAUAGAGAAUACCAAUACGACAAUACAAUGUGACAGGAAGUAACCAAGGUAUCAAGUUAACCCUACAAAUAUACAAGUGGAUAACAAGAGUACAAGUACAAGUUUAUACACAAACCUCGGGCUUUAGCAUAGAAACAGUCCAACAAAACUCCAAGAGUUCAAACCGUAGGCCGACCAACGUAUCAAGGUCCUCAACUUGUACACGAGUAUAUAUAACCUUAAAAAUGCAAUUAAAUAACUUCUUUAACUUAUAUUAGCUCAAUAGUGUUAACGUAAAACAAGAUCAUAAUCACAAGUAAGCCUAGUUAGUACAAAUACUACUAUGCUCCCAAAACAGUGAAUCUGUCCAGCCUGGUACCUCAAGUCGCAACAUUGUUUCGAAAAGGAAAAUGGCAAAACUGGAUUGUAUAUCCUCGUGAAAGAUGUAGGUACAUCUCUUAAGGUAGAAAAUAAUCAAGAAUCACCGCAAAAUAUAUGUUGUACAAAAAGAUAUAAUCAAAACACUAAUAGUUGAUCAUACAUGAUUUCUAAUUCCAAAAUCUGGACAGAACUUGUCCUAUGUUGCAUCCCAUAUUUCGAAUCCAUAACAGCUAAAUUAGAGUUUUACAUAAACGUAAGCGUUAUACGUAUAUGAAUUAGAUUUCCAAAUCAUAUUUAUUCACUAUAAACGAAGUUCUAUAGAACGAGAUAUACUUAAAAUACUAAACACUACCCAACUCAGAAACAGAUUUCAUCACUUACCCAAGAGAUGGGUGUGUCUCGAAUUCCAGCCAAAAGGACCAUGUUUUUCUCUUGUGAUUUUGUGAGUAAUAUGGAUAGAGAAAGUUCUCCAGGUUUAUUAGAGUUAAGGAACACGAAAUGUUAUAGAGGAGGUGUGAGAAUAUAUGUUAUAAAAAUGAUGUUUAUCACUUAUAGACAUAGCUGAAAGCAAAGUUGGCUGGCCAAAAAGUAAAAAUGUUGGCUUCCCAAAAGUAAAAAGGUUGGCUGCCCAAAAUGUAUACAUAUAUACCUAUAUGUAUAUACCUCACCUUACUUUCAAUUUAUAAGUAAUUCUAAUUAAAACAUUACGUCAAUACCCCAAUACAAUCCCUUAAAUUAAGAUCACAAUUUAUGUUAAGCAAGUCUGCAAAUAUCACAAAAUUUCAAGUUCCCAAAAUGAGAAUAAAACAUAUUGUAGUAAUUAAGCAAUGAUGUAUCGACAUGCGACUCUUGGUUAGUAUUUAGGGGUGUUACAAAAAGGGGAGAAAUUAGGGUUAAAAGAGGGAGAAGAGCGUUGGUGGGUGGUUCAGGGAUCCACAUCAGCGCCUUCAAAAUGUCUUCACGCACUCAAGCGACACGAGAUCACAUUUUGUGCCACAUCAGCCCGUAGUGUUUAAAAGGAACAAAUUAUGGGUGGUUCAAGGAUUUAAUAGAAAAAUGGCACAAUUGAGGUACCUGAGGGGAAAAAUCCAACAAGUUUAGGGAGCCGUUUAUGUGUUUGGCCUAUUCUCUGAUAUCGAUGGUCUAGAAGUAGGAUCAAUAUAUAUAGACCUUGUUUGUCCUCCUUGAGUCACGAUCAACCGACUUAGAUAACGUGUGUGUACUAAAAUCAUCUCUGAAGUAUGACUUAAAUCUAAAGUACAUACUUGUGUUAUAUAAGUGAACAAAAAACAUCAUUGCACUAUUGAAAAAGUUCCAAGAUUCAUCCUUUUGUCUAUUUUUUUUAAGAAACUCACGCCACCAACAAAAAAAUGUGCCAAGUCGAAUGAAUAUUUGUGCACAUGGUUAAGCUAGUCAAGUUGGGUGAUUUUUCUAAUAUUUGGAAAAUGAGGGUUUAAAUAAUAUGCAAACGAAAUAUAUUCAAAUUCGUAAUAUUCUUUGUAAAAAGAAUGGUCAAAUACAACUCCAACUUCAAAAAAAUUGAAAUAAAGUAAUUUUUUUAAUUUUCAUAACUAAACGUCUACGUAAUUUUCCUCAUUUUUCAGUAUUUAUGUACAUUGUAUAAAAUGUGAAUUGCAUUGUAUGUAGCGUACAUAUAUACUGAAUAUUUUUUUAAAGAAAAACUCUAAAUAGUUGGGCGUAAUAUUUUUAAAAUAAUUUUUUUACAUAAUAUUUCUAACCAUCGGAACUUACUAAAUAAAUAUUUCAAGACUUAUGUAUUGUUGCAAGUCAAUUUGCUUGAUGAUGUAAAAACAUAUAAACUAACAACACACAAAAUUUAAAUUCUGCGAAUGAAUGAUUCAUUUCCUAUCCAUAUUCUUAUUUUUUUUUAGGUAACUUUGAUCUUCUCGUCGUGGCUAAGAAGUCACCAAAUUAAAAAAAUAUUUUUUUUAUUGGUUCAAUCAGUUUCUUAACAAAAAUAGGCUGAAAGAUGAUUCUUGCUAUUUUUAGAUAGUAUAAGAAUGUCUUUUGCACACUUAGAUAAUAUAAGGAUAUACAUUAAAUUUGAGUCAUAGUUAAGGGGUGAUUUUAGCCAAAAACUCUAUCAUAUUCAUAUUAUAUACAUUACAUUUUAUUAUUGUUUUUCUUUGCAAUGCUUCUCAUCAUCGACUGCCUUGUAUUGACCUACGUACUGAGACAUAUUUUAAGUGUAGGGCUUAUAACAUGCAUGCUUUGUAAGAAAUAUUUAUUACUCUCAAUUGAUCGGUCUAUGAUGUCUACAGAAUGCACAUAUAUUAUCGUGCUCAUACUGUACUUGUUGCAUCUUUUGAUGCAAAUCCAGUACUAGGAGACCAAGUGAUUAUAUCAUCCGGGUCAGCGCUAUAUAUCUAGUAUCUUUGAUAAGUUAUUUGGCGUUUAGAGCAAUGCUUGAGUUCCUCUAUUCUAUAAUUUUUUGUCUUUCAUUAGUUUAGACACUUUUGUAGCUUUCAAACCGAGACACUAUAUCUUUAAAUGCUCCUGUACUGAUAACAUUAGGUCUUGGGUGUAUUUAGUUAUUUCCACACUUUUAUUCUAUUUAUGAAAUUUUGGAUUUUGAGAGGCUUACAUCCUCUCUUUUUUUUACUCACAUUUUGACUUGAUAAUCAUUUGGGGUGAAGGGUUGUCUUUUCUACUAAUGGGUUCAUGUAGGUGUCAUCAUAAGAUUGAAUUUUAGAUUGAUCGUGAUAUUUAUGUUAUAUUUUUCUUUUUAAAAAUAUGUUUUUAUUCUUAAUAAGAUGAUUUAUAACUGUAUAAAUAUCUAUAAUUUGUUUAAGAUCAUAAAUUUUAAAAUUCUUUUAUUUUUAUAAUUUAUGUCAAAUCAAAUACCUUCACAUAAAUUGAGACGGAGAAAAUAAUAUAAUAAUUUUAAAGUAUCAAAUUCUUGGGGCCUACUUGUCUUGGAUUAAGCUAGCAUUGUGUUCAUCUAGAAAGUAAAGUGAGAUUUAGAAAAUCCUUAAUUUUACAGAAGCUUUUAUUUUGUCUUAAAAAUACAGAAAAUGGUAUUCACAAUGAAGUAGAGUGGUACAUAGCUCGGAUGGAAACAAACAAUAAUCAUAUGCUCCCACUAAUUACUUAUCCAUUUUUGAAUUGACACACCUAUUAAGAAAACAAUUAUUGUUAUAGUGAGUUUACCAUUUUAUCCCUAUUAAUUUGAAAAAGGGGUUCGAAAUAUAUCCGAACUUUGACCGAAAUUGCUAUAACAAUCCCAAACUUUGGCAGGACCUAUUACCCCCUGAACUAUUUAAUAGAGUAUAUAUGUGUGUGUGCGCGCGCGCGCACGCGCCCGCCCACGUGGACAUCAUAAAUAUUGCAUCAUUAUAAAUAGUAACUUGUCAAGCUCGGCACUUAUAUAUCUUUAAAAACACUAUUAAAUAGUGCAGGGGGUACUAGGUCUUGCCCAAAGUUUAGAAUUGUUACAACAAUUUCGGUCAAAGUUCGGAUAUAUUUCAGACAUUUUUCCCAUUAUAAAGUGAAUGAAUUAAAAACUUAGAAUUUUCAAGAAGUUCUACCUUUUUACAAAGUAAUUAAUUGAGGGUAUAAUACGUAAAAAGAAAUUGUCCUUUCUUAAUUUGUCAAAAUGGACAAGUAAUUAGGGACAACUAAAAAAUGAUAGGUGAACAAAUAAUUAAGAAUAGAAGGAGUACUAAUUUCGAAGAAUCGAAACUUAAUUUAUUAAUACUUUAGACUAGAUACUACGAUAUAUUUCAACAUUUGUUAAACAACCAAAUGAUAAUAGUCAUAUAUAAUUUUGGUUAUUUAAUUUCCCAUACACCAUCAAAAUCUCGAAAUUUUGCCAAGAAUGAAAAAAAGCUGAUCUAUUAUUAUUCUUUUACUAAAGUAUUUUGUAGAGGUAUUAAUUAAUCAAUAAAUUAAUAAAUAUUACUUUAAAGAAUGUUUUUAAAAUUUAAUGAAUAUACAUUAUCCCCCUAAAAAUAAGGGAUAUUAAAAAGGAAGAAGAAUGGAAGAAUAAACAAUAAUGAAAGAUCAAAAAAUUGAAAGAAAGAGAGUGAAUAGAGUAUUGAAGUGAAUAUAAAUAAAUGUUUCUUGGGCAGUGCUUUUUAUUGGGAAGAAAAAAAUUCUUGGACAAUGUAAUUUUUAAAACCAUUUAGUGGUUUAAGACUUUUUUUUUUAGUGAUUUUACUUUGGAGGGUACUUUGGGUACAAAAAAAUGAAUUUACCCUAUCACCCUAUUCAUUCCUGCGAAAUUACGAUCUUAUCCUGAAAAAGUAAGGUAGUGCCAUUUUGUGCCAGAAAAGUGUCUUGCCAAAUAUAUUUUCCGUAAUUAUAAAGUAGAUGAAUUAAAAACUUAAGAUUUUCAAGAAGUUGUACUUGUUUCAAAAUAAUUAAUUGAAGGUAAAUAGGAUAAAAUUGUCCUUUUUUGAUUUAUCAAAAUGAAUAACUAAUUAGAGACAACUAAAAAAUGAAAAGUCAACAAAUAAUUAAGGACAGAGUGAGUACUAAUUUCGAAGAACCGAAACUCAAUUUAUUGAUACUUCAGACUAGAUACUACAAUAUAUUUCAACAUUUGUUAAACAACCAAAUGAAAAUAGUCAUAAUUUUUGUUCUUUAAUUUCCCAUCACACCAUCAAAAUCUCGAAAUUUUGCCAACAAUGAAAAAAUGCUGAUAUAUUAUUAUUCUUUUACUCGAAGAACAAGUAUAAUAAACAUGAAAUAAAUAACUAUAAUGAUAAAUACAAAAUUAAAGCCUUAGGGAUGUACUGAAUUUGUUCCAAAAUCUUGGGUCCUUAGGAGUUUCCAUGAUCUUCUUAUCUCCUUUGAUUUUCCCAAGAAUUGGUUUGAGCAACUUCUUCAUCAUCUUCUGGAAUCCGUAACCACGACGUCGAUGGUGGCGGAAGCACGGCUCUUGAUCGGCGGCAGCCAUUAGUGGUGGUGGCUGCCUAGUAGUAGUACUCCGUCGGCUAGGCUCAGAUAAACUCCUAGCAAGAAUAGCUUGAUUUAAUUGUAUUUCAAAUGUAAUUCUUUCAUAUUCAUCAAGUAAUGUGCUUUUUUCAUCUCCAAAUUUUUUCAUUACUUGUGAUAUUGUCUCCAUUGAGCCCAUCUUAAUUAUUCAUAUUAUAAACUCCUUUAAAUAAUAUAUAUGGCUAGCUUGAUCGAUGAAGCUUUAAUUUCACAUUCUCUCUCUUUUUCUUUCUUUUGUGUUGGCUUGAUGGAAGCCGAGCUGACAACUCAAAAGCCACGUUAUUAUUACUAGCUAGAAAAGAAGGAAUUAUUAUCAACUUGUGAUAUAAGUAAAGAAGAAUUCAAAAGACUAGUUAUAAAUUUGACUCCACCACAUUUAUCAAACAAGUUUUUGUCUUUUGAGUUUCUUUGGCAUUAUUUAUUAAUCGAUUGUUUUAAAAUAGGGAUAAUACAUAUAUUGGACCUUAAACUUGGCUUCAAAUUUUAACUUUGACCUCCAACUUUCAUAGUGCACAAACAGACACUUUAACUAUCCAACCUUUUAAUAAAUAAACACGCGUGUCUUACCUGGCAAAACGCGUGAUGUGCACAUUUUUUGCGCGAGUAGGAGUGAUUUUUGAGGCCUACAACAGUAAAAAAAAAUGCUGAAAUGACAACUAUACCCUUAAUUAAUUAAUUAUUUUUUUUAGUUCAAAAAUGCACGUGUAAAGUGUUUAAUUAGUUGGCAGCCAUUGAGUGGCUCACUAAUACACGUGGCAGCGUUUGCAUUUCACGCUCUUGGCUCCAAAAAUCGCGUGUUUAUUNNNNNNNNNNNNNNNNNNNNNNNNNNNNNNNNNNNNNNNNNNNNNNNNNNNNNNNNNNNNNNNNNNNNNNNNNNNNNNNNNNNNNNNNNNNNNNNNNNNNNNNNNNNNNNNNNNNNNNNNNNNNNNNNNNNNNNNNNNNNNNNCGUGUUUAUUUAUUAAAAGGUUGGAUAGUUAAAGUGCUUGUUUGUGCACUAUGAAAGUUGGAGGUCAAAGUUAAAAUUUGAAGCCAAGUUUAAGGUCCAAUAUAUGUAUUAUGCCUUUAAAAUAUGUGGUGUUUUUUUUAUAUUUUGUUUCAAAACAACUAGUAUUUGAUUAAUACCCUUAAUUCAAUAAAGUUUCAUAUAGUCAAGAAAUUAUCAAAAAGAGCUACAUUUUUUUCAAGCUGUUUAUUAAAGGCAAGCUAGUAAAAAUAUGUUUUACUUUCACUAGUUUUCUUAAAAGGUGUGUUCAAACUAAAUAUACCAUUUAUUUUGAAAUAGAUGGAGCACUACAAAGUUAUAAAAGGGUGAAAGAAUAGAAAUGACAUUCCACUUGUAGAAUUACACAAAGUAUGUUAUUAUUGUUAUUGUUGUUGUGCAUAGCUUGUAAUCCCUUAAACUUUUCAUGAUAUUCCAUUUAGACACUCAAACUAAGCCAUGUUCCAAUUGAAAAUUUCAAUACCUAAUAAAUUAAUGUUCCAAUUACAUACUUUCAGUUCAAAUUUUGAAUAUUUUGUGUGUAUUCUCAUUUGUUUAGGUAGUUAAGUUAGCCACAUAAAAUAUGUCAGCGCCUUAAGUUAUACACAUCAACCUCAAGUAGAAAAUAUAUGGAGUUUUAUGGCUUGUUAAGUGGAUUGCAUAUAAUUAAAGGGAAUGUCAUAUUUUAUUUAGUUAACUUAACUCUUAAUAAACGAAUGAGAACACGUACAAAAUAAAUUUCAAAAUAACCGACAAUAUUUAAUUGCAAUACUAUAUUAAAUGUUGAGAUGUUUAAUUAAAAUAAAAUUCUGUUCGAAUAUCUAAAUUGUUUGUUCUUACAAAUUUAAGGAACAAAUUGUUUUAUUAACCCAAUAAAAAUAAAAUUAAAUAUUAUGUUGAAACACAAUGAGUACAACUAAUAUGAUGAUAUGUUACUAAAUUUGUUGUCAAUUCAAUCGAUUACCAUUCUGCAAGGAGUUUAACUUUAAUAUAUCGAUAUCACAAAGAUAUAUUUGGGAAAAUAAGAUAAAUCGCCCCCCCCACCCCACCCCCACCCCCCGGUCAACUAUUUUUUUUAAAAUCCAAAAGUUCCCCCUUUGUCAACUAAAUGAUUAUCACAUUUUUUUUAAGUUAAUUUGAUUAUAUUUUAGAAUUAAAUUUAUAGAAUUACACAUAAUAAAUAAUCUAAACUGACUAAUUGGAUGAUGCGUAAAUAAAAAUUAUCUUUUUAUAGUGAAAGCGAAAGAUUUAAGAGAUUAACUUGUGUCCACUGUCAGUGAAAUUCUUUUUACACUAUCACUAAACUUUAAGUCACACAAAAGUUAAGUUUUUAAAUUUGUUUAUUUUUUAUUUUAUAGAAUUUAAAUAUUAAAUAUAGUCGUGUAAGGCAACUAGGACUCAAAAUUUAUCUUAUCAAAUUAGUUUAGGAUUCUAUUUGUUGAUUUACCUAAAAUAUUUCAUCGUUAUUUUUUGUUUCAUUGUUCUGAAACUUGUUUCAGUUUGGUGUUGUAUCUGUAAUGGGAGGCCCUCAGGUAUCUCUUCUGUGACACAUUGCUUCCAACAAACUUAAUAUCUAUAUGCAUGAUGACAUCGUUUUACUUUCACUAGUUUUACGUAGUAGCAAUUUAAGAUAGUUUGAAUUUUUAAGUUAUAUUUAGCUUGUUAAUUUAACAUCCAUUAACUACAUGUUGCAGGAAGGAUUCUCUAACUUACCUGAGGAAAAUGCAGAAGACAUUGGAUCUUCACAAGAGGAUAUUCCCCAUUUUGGUGAUGAAGAAUCGAGAGUGCCAUACAUCGGUAUGGAGUUUCAGUCACUUGAUAUUGCAUUUAAAUUUUAUCUUGAUUAUGCUCAUUGUAGUGGUUUUAGUGUGCGCAAAAAUCGAAUCAAUCGAUCAAGAAAAGAUAAAUCAAUAAUAGGUCGAGAAUUUGUUUGUUCAAAAGAAGGAUUCCGCUCAAAAAAGAGUCUUGAGAAAAAUAUGCAACGAGAUGAAACUAGAGAAGGGUUUAAAGUGUUGAUAUAUUAGUCGAAGAAAGAAGACGAAAAGUUGGUUGUCGCUAGGCUAGUCUCAAACCAUAAUCAUGAACUUGCUUCUCCACAUAGCCAAAAAUUCUUGCGAUCGAAAAGGAAAAAGUCAGAAGCUCAAAAGAAUCUUAUUGAUCUAUUAGAUAAUUCAGGUGUUCGUCCUAGUAAAAUUGCAUCAAUAUUAAUUACUUAGGCAGGGGGUGUAGAGAAUCUCAAUUUAACUGGACGAGACAUUCAAAAUUAUUUGAGUACUAAAAGGCAAAAAGAAUCUUGAGAAAGGAGAUGUCCAAUUGAUGUUGAAGUACUUUCAAAAACGUCAAUCUGAAAGCCAGGUUUCUUUUAUGCAAUACAAAUGGAUGUAGAAGGUCAUCUAGCUAAUUGCUUUUGGGUAGAUGCUAGGUAUAGGAUAGCUUAUAAGAACUUUGGGGAUGUUGUCGUUUUUUAUCCUACAUACUUGACAAAUAGAUAUAAGAUGCCUUUUGUCCCAUUUACUGGAGUUAAUAACCAUCAUCAAUCAAUUUUAUUUGGUCGUGCUCUUCUUUGGGAUGAAACUCAAGAAACUUUUGAAUGGUUACUUCGCACUUGGCUAGAGGCAAUGCUCUGUGUUAUGCCUCGUACAAUUAUCACGGAUCAGGAUGCUGCAAUAACAAAGGCAGUUGCAAAUGUGUUUCCAAAUUGUGCACACCACUUUUGCAUGUGGCACAUUGAAAAGAAAAUUCUCGAAUAUUUAAGUCAUGUCUAUCAUGACUUUGAUGAUUUUAAAACUAAGUUUAGUAAGUGUCUACAUGGUACGACCACGCCUGAGGAAUUUGAAGCUACUUGGAUUGAUAUUAUGAAAAACAAUAAUUUAGAAGAAAAUAGUUGGUUGCAAAGAAUAUAUGCAAUUCGUGAAAAAUGGAUUCCAACAUAUGUGAGAAGAAAUUUUUGUGCUGGAAUGUCAACAACUCAAAGAGGUGAGAGUAUGAAUAAUUUUUUUAAGGAUUAUCUUAAUUCUAGUACACCGAUGAGUGUAUUUGUAGCACAAUAUGAUAAAGCUAUUGAUGCUAGGUAUGAUAAAAUAAGGGAAAAGGAAUAUAAGACAAAAUAUUCAAAGGCUAUCUUGAAGACAUUGUAUCCCAUGGAGGAUGAAGCAGCAAAGGUAUAUACUAGAAAAAUAUUUCGAAAAUUUCAAGAAGCAUUGAUUCAGUCUCAAAUAUUUAUUUCAGAAAAGAUUGAGGUUCAGGAUGGAAUACAUAUCUAUAGAGUUCAUUUGUUUCAAAAACAAUUGUCUGCCUACAUUGUUAGAUUGAACCUUAUACUGAAAGAUGCUACUUGUUCUUGUUGUAAGUUUGAGUUCAUGGGAAUCUUAUGUAGGCAUGUGCUUGUUGUAUUUAUAAAGAAACAAAUUUACUCACUUCCAACAUGUUAUCUGUUGAAUCGGUGGACAAGAUACGCCACCAAAGAAAAAGUUCAUGACAUUUCAAAUGACAAAUCGCAUGUGAAUAAUUUGAAGCCUUCCUCUAUAUGGUUUAAUAAUAUUAUGAUGCAUUCUUUUGGCCUAUCUGAGCGAGCUACACGGUCUGAAAGACAUUAUAAAUUUGCAUAUCAAAGAUUAUCCCAAUUAUGUGAAGAACUUGAUGAACUCCCUUAUGAUAUUGAGAAUGAUGAUAUAUGUGAGGAUCUAGUUAACGAGUCAAAUGUGGAACUAAACACAAAUGAGGAGAGACAAAACACCAUUUUGAUUGACCCUUUAUGUGUGGUAACUAAAGGACGUCCAAAUUCAUUGAGAAUGAGAGGUGGUCUAGAAAAAUCUCUAAAGGUCAAAAAAGGCUCUAAGAAACAACAUGGCAAAUCAAAAGUUUAAAGAAUGGUGAGGCAAAGGGCAAGGGCAAGGGCAAGGGAAAGAGCAAGGUCAAUGCGAAGGGUAGAGGAAUGAGGUAAUCUCACUUUAUAUAGUGUAAUAAUUAUUGAUUAAUAUUUUUUGUAACUUUGAUAUUUGAUGUAUCACUACUAAAAAACUGCUAAAAAAUGACGGACAGAAAAGCGACGGACGAAGUCGCUCCAAAAAGCAAGGUCAUUUGCCACAAUGUCCGUCGCUUUUUAAUAAAAAUAAUUAUUUUUUAAAUUAUUUUUCAAAAAAGCGACGGACGGCAUCUCUUAGUCCGUCGCUUUUUUUGUGGAUUUUUGUGCCAAAUAUAUAUAUAAUUAAUAAUUAAUUGAUUAAUUAGUUUUUUAAAGGAGCGACGGACAACAUCUCUAAGUCCGUCGCUUUUUGGUCAACAUGACUGGUCAAACAUUUAAGAAAAGCGACGGACAACGUCUCUUAGUCCAUCGCUUUUUUGGUCAAAAUUUUGGUCAAAUAUUUUUAAAAAAGCGACGGACAAAGAGACGUUGUCCGUCGCUUUUCUUAAAAUAUCUUUGACCCAUCAGGAUUUUCUUAUUUUCUUUUCUCUCUUCUCUCUUCUUCUCUCUUCACUCUUAUUCUCUCCCUUCUCUCUAUCAAUCUCCCUCCACCGGCUGCCGCCUCCACCGCUGCCGUCGCUGCCCUUGCCUAUCGCCGUCAGUCGUCGUCCGUCACCUCCCAUCGUUGCCUCUCCUCUUUGUUAAGGUUGGUAUUUAAUUUUAGGUUUUUUUUU